rnacentral:lncRNA from 1 species
AGCUUCAUGGUUGUCUUUUGGAGAAAUGACCAGUCAAGUUGUGUUUGAAAUUUGAUUUUUUUCAGGGGCAAAAGGAGCCUCUGCAUUGUUGUCAAAUAUGUAAAUAGCAUGUUUUUGCAGGUGCUAAAAAACAGACUCUGAGUGUGUGUGUGUGUGUGUGUGUGUGUGUGUGUGUGUGUGUGUGUGUGUGUGUGUGUGUGUGUGUGUGUGUGUGUGUGUGUGUGUGUGUGUGUCUGUGUGUGUGUAUCCUGCAGUACUCUGUACUCCUGCAGUGGCCAAAACGACUUUUAAGAAUGUGGAUAUUUGGGUCAUCUUUGGCGCCCCCUAGAACGUAAACCAUGGGGUGCAGCGGCAUGAUUUUUACAACUUUGAAUGGCCAUGGGAUGUAGAUCGGCUUGAGCAAAUUUGGUGUCGGUGGGAAGAAAGCCUUAGGAGGAGUUAGCCACAUUCCAAUGUGUGCGAAUCUGCAAAAAAUGCGAAAUAGCCCUUUAACCGUACAUUUUACAGAUACGUGCCCAUUGACUUUUUCGUAGAUCUUAUUGAGAUACACGUGAUUGUCAAAUUUUGGGUCAAUAUGACAAAGCGUAUAGGCGUGACACUCAACAAUGUGUAUUUUCACCUUAGGGGACAAGAAAAAAUUGACUUUUUUCUCCUGCCAUGUGGGGGCGCUCUUUUGGGGAGUAAAAAUUCCUUCACAAAUGUGUUGAUGGCUGGACAUUGCAUCAUCCUAGAGAACUUGGAGGCCAGUGAGGACAAAAAUAAAAAGUUAUAAGACUUUUAAGACUGUGGAUUUUUGGGUUAUCUUUGGCGCCCCCUAGAACGUAAACUGUGGGGUGCAGCGUCAUGAUUUGUACAACUUUUAAUGGCCAUGGGGUGUAGAUUGGCCUGAGCAAAUGUGGUGCCGGUGGAACGAAUGCCUUCGGAGGAGUUAGCGAAAUUCCAAUGUGUGCAGAUCGGCAAAAAAUGCGAAAUAACCCUCUAACUGUACAUUUCACAGAUGCGCCCGCGCUGACUUUUUCGUAGAACGUAUUGAGAUACACGUGUGUGUCAAUUUUUGUGUCAAUAUGACAAAGCGUACAGGCGUGACAGUCAAUAGUGUGAAUUUUCCCUUAGGGGGCGCGAUGGAGCCAUUUUGCAUUUUAUUGUUUGGGCGACUUCAGAAUAUCGAAUUUUUCACCAGGCCCGGUCGUCCUGCCAAAUUUCAUGAGUUUUCGCCAGUGGGAAGUGGGCCAUUUUCCAGUUUAAAGCGGAGGAAAAAUAAUAAUAAUAACAAAAGAAGAAUCCAUCAGGAACAAGAGGGCUCUCGCAGCUGCUUAGCAGCUACGCUCGGGCCCUAAAGAAACAAAGAAAAACCACUUGGGGAAUAAUAGGGCUCUCGCAGCUGCUUAGCAGCUACGCUCGGGCCCUAAAAACGUAUUUGGGGUGUUCAGGCUUCCUGAAGGUAAUACCCGGGUAUUAGGUUAUGGGGCUUAGGAAAGGUUUAGGGUUUUUGGCGAUAGGGUUAAAAUCACUGUCCAAAACCUUUGUAGGAACUCUUUUCCAACCUUUUGGAGUCAGUUAGACCAAAAAAAAAGAAAAAUGAAAAAAAAAAUAUUUGGGGUUUUCAGGCUUCCUGGAGGUAAUACCCGGGUAUUAGGUUAUGGGGCUUAGGUAAGGUUUAAGGUUUUUGGCGUGAGGGUUAAAAUCACUGUCCAAAGCCUUCGUAGGAACUCUUUUCCAACCUUUUGGAGUCAGUUACACCAAAAAAAAAAUGUAAAAAGAAAAAAAAAUAUUUGGGGUGUUUGGGCUUCCUGAAGGUAAUACCCUAAUAUUAGGUUAUAGGGCUAUGGUAAGGUUUAAGGUUUUUGGCGAUAGGGUUAAACUAACUGUCCAAAACCUUUUUAGGAACAUGUUUCAGACCUUUUGGAGUUGGUUGCACCAAAAAAAAAAUGAAAAAAAAAAUAUUUGGGGUGUUCGGGCUUCCUGAAGGUAUUAGGUUAUGGGGCUAUGGUAAGGGUUCAGUUAUUUGGCGUUAGGGUUAAAAUUAUUGUCCAAAACCUUUGUAGGAACUCUUUUCCAACCUUUUGGAGUUAGUUAGACCAAAAAAAAAUGAAAAAUGAAAAAAAAAUAUUUUGGGUUUUCAGGCUUCCUGAAGGUAAUACCCAGGUAUUAGGUUAUGGGGCUAGGGUUAGGUUUUAGGUUUUUGGCGUUAGGGUUAAUAUCAAUGUCCAAAACCUUUGGAGGAACUCUUUUCCAAGCUUUUGGAGGUAGUUAGACAAAAAAAAAGAGAAAAAUUAAAAAAAAUAUUUGUGGUUUUCGGGCUUCCUGAAGGUAAUACCCGGGUAUUAGGUUAUGGGGCUAUGGUAAGGUUUAAGGUUUUUGGCGAUAGGGUUAAACUAACUUUCCAAAACCUUUUUAGGAACAUGUUUCAGACCCUUUGGAGUUGGUUAAACCAAAAAAAAAUGUAAAAUGAAAAAAAAAUAUUUGGGGUGUUCGGGCUUCCUGAAGGUAAUACUUAGUAUUAGGUUAUGGGGCUAUGGUAAGGGUUCAGUUUUUUGGCAUUAGGGUUAAAAUUAUUGUCCAAAACCUUUGUAGGAACUCUUUUCCAACCUUUUGGAGUUAGUUAGACCAAAAAAAAAAGAAAAAUGAAAAAAAAAUAUUUGGGGUUUUCGGGCUUCCUGAAGGCAAUAUCCAGGUAUUAGGUUAUGGGGCUAGGGUAAGGUUUUAGGUUUUUGGCGUUAGGGUUAAAAUCAAUGUCCAAAACCUUUGGAGGAACUCUUUUCCAACCUUUUGGAGUCAGUAUGACCAAAAUAAAAUAAAAAAAAUAAAAAAAAUGUAUUUGGGGUGUUCGGGCUUCCUGAAGGUAAUACCCGGGUAUUAGGUUAUGGGGCUUAGGAAAGGUUUAAGGUUUUUGGCGUUAGGGUUAAAAUCACUGUCCAAAACCUUUGUAGGAACUCUUUUCCAACCUUUUGGAGUUAGUUAGACCAAAAAAAAAAGAAAAAUGAAAAAAAAAUAUUUGGGGUUUUGGGGUGCCUGAAGGCAAUACCCGGGAAUCAGUUUCUGGGGCUUUGGAAAGGUUUAAGGUUUUUGGCGUUAGGGUUAAAAUCACUGUCCAAAACCUUUGUAGGAACUCUUUUCCAACCUUUUGGAGUCAGUUCGACCAAAAAAAAAGAAAAAUGAAAAAAAAAUAUUUGGGGUUUUCAGGCUUCCUGGAGGUAAUACCCUAAUAUUAGGUUAAGGGGCUAUGGUAAGGUUUAAGGUUUUUGGCGAUAGGGUUAAACUAACUGUCCAAAACCUUUUUAGGAACAUGUUUCAGACCUUUUGGAGUUGGUUACACACAAAAAAAAUGUAAAAUGAAAAAAAUAUAUUUGGGGUGUUCGGGCUUCCUGAAGGUAUUAGGUUAUGGGGCUAUGGUAAGGGUUCAGUUUUUUGGCGUUAGGGUUAAAAUUAUUGUCCAAAACCUUUGUAGGAACUCUUUUCCAACCUUUUGGAGUCAGUUAGACCAAAAAGAAAAGAAAAAAGAAAAAAAAUAUAUUUGGGGUGUUCGGGCUUCCUGAAGGUAAUACCGGGUAUUAGGUUUUGGGGCUAGGGUAAGGUUUGAGGUUUUUGGCAUUAGGGUUAAAAUCACUGUCCAAAACCUUUGUAGGAACUCUUUUCCAACCUUUUGGAGUUAGGUAGACCAAAAAAAAAAAGAAAAAAAAAAAAAAAUAUUUGGGGUUUUCAGGCUUCCUGGAGGUAAUACCCUAAUAUUAGGUUAAGGGGCUAUGGUAAGGUUUAAGGUUUUUGGCGUUAGGGUUAAACUAACUGUCCAAAACCUUUUUAGGAACAUGUUUCAGACCUUUUGGAGUUGGUUACACACAAAAAAAAUGUAAAAUGAAAAAAAAAUAUUUGGGGUGUUCGGGCUUCCUGAAGGUAUUAGGUUAUGGGGCUAUGGUAAGGGUUCAGUUUUUUGGCGUUAGGGUUAAAAUUAUUGUCCAAAACCUUUGUAGGAACUCUUUUCCAACCUUUUGGAGUUAGGUAGACCAAAAAGAAAAGAAAAAAGAAAAAAAAAUAUUUGGGGUUUUCGGGCUUCCUGAAGGUAAUACCCGGGUAUUAGGUUUUGGGGCUAGGGUAAGGUUUGAGGUUUUUGGCAUUAGGGUUAAAAUCACUGUCCAAAACCUUUUUAGGAACAUGUUUCAGGCAUUUUGCAGUUGGUUAAACCAAAAAAAAAAAGUAAAAUGAAAAAAAAAUAUUUGGGGUGUUCGGGCUUCCUGAAGGUAAUAACCGGGUAUUAGGUUAUGGGGCUAUGGUAAGGUUUAAGGUUUUUUGACGUUAGGGUGAAAAUAACUGUACAAAACCUUUGUAGGAACUCUUUUCCGACCUUUUGGAGUUAGGUAGACCAAAAAAAAAAGAAAAAAGAAAAAAAAAUAUUUGGGGUGUUCGGGCUUCCUGAAGGUAAUACCCGGGUAUUAGGUUUUGGUGCUAGGGUAAGGUUUGAGGUUUUUGGCAUUAGGGUUAAAAUCACUGUCCAAAACCUUUUUAGGAACACCUUUCAGACCUUUUGGAGUUUGUACAACAAAAAAAAAAUGUAAAAUGAAAAAGAAAUAUUUGGGGUGUUCGGGCUUCCUGAAGGUAAUACCCGGGUAUCAGGUUUUUGGGCUAGGGUAAGGUUUGAGGUUUUUGGCGUCAGGGUUAAAAUCAAUGUCCAAAACCUUUGGAGGAACUCUUUUCCAAGCUUUUGGAGUCAGUUACACCAAAAAAAAUGUAAAAUGAAAAAAAAAUAUUUGGGGUGUUCGGGCUUCCUGAAGGUAAUACCCCGGUAUUAGGUUAUGGGGCUAUGGUAAGGGUUAAGGUUUUUGGAUUAGGGUUAAAAUCACUGUCCAAAACCUUUUUAGGAACAUGUUUCAGACCUUUUGCAGUUGGUUAAACCAAAAAAAAAUGUAAAAUGAAAAAAAUAUAUUUGGGGUUUUCGGGCUUCCUGAAGGACCUAUUAGGUUAUGGGACUAUGGUAAGGUUUAAGGUUUUUGGCGUUAGGGUUAAAACCACUGUCCAAAACCUUUGUAGAAACUCUUUUCCAACCUUUUGGAGUUACGUAGACCAAAAAAAAAGGAAAAAUGAAAAAAAAAUAUAUUUGGGGUGUUCGGGCAUCCUGAAGGUAUUAGGUUUUGGGGCUAAGGUAAGGUUUAAGGUUUUUGGCGUGAGGGUUAAAAUCACUGUCAAAAACCUUUGUAGGAACUCUUUUCCAACCUUUUGGAGUCAGUAUGACCAAAAAAUAAAUAAAAAAAAUAAAAAAAAUGUAUUUGGGGUGUUCGGGCUUCCUGAAGGUAAUACCCGGGUAUUAGGUUAUGGGGCUUAGGAAAGGUUUAAGGUUUUUGGCAUUAGGGUUAAAAUCACUGUCCAAAACCUUUGUAGGAACUCUUUUCCAACCUUUUGGAGUUAGGUAGACCAAAAAAAAAAGAAAAAAGAAAGAAAAAUAUUUGGGGUUUUCGGGCUUCCUGAAGGUAAUACCGGGGUAUUAGGUUAUGGGGCUAUGGUAAGGUUUAAGGUUUUUGACGUUAGGGUUAAAAUCACUGUCAAAAACCUUUGUAGGAACUCUUUUCCAACCUUAUGGAGUUCGUGAGACCAAAAAAAAAAAGACAAAUGAAAAAAAAAAAUUUGGGGUGUUCGGGCUUCCUGAAGGUAAUACCCGGGUAUUAGGUUAUGGGGCUAGGGUAAGGUUUGAGGUUUUUGGCAUUAGGGUUAAAAUCACUGUCCAAAACCUUUGUAGGAACUCUUUUCCAACCUUUUGGAGUUAGACCAAAAAAGAAUGAAAAAUGAAAAGAAAAUAUUUGGGGUUUUCGGGCUUCCUGAAGGUAAUACCCGGGUAUCAGGUUAUGGGGCUAUGGUAAGGUUUAAGGUUUUUGGCGUUAGGGUUAAAAUCACUGUCCAAAACCUUUGUAGGAACUCUUUUCCAACCUUUUGGAGUCAGUUAGACAAAAAAAAUGAAAAAUGAAAUAAAAAAUAUUUGGGGUGUUCAGGCUUCCUGAAGGUAAUACCCGGUAUUAGGUUAUGGGGCUUAGGAAAGGUUUAAGGUUUUUGGCGUUAAGGUUAAAAUCACUGUCCAAAACCUUUGUAGGAACUCUUUUCCAACCUUUUGGAGUCAGUUAGACCAAAAAAAAGAAAAAUGAAAAAAAAAAAUAUUUGGGGUUUUCAGGCUUCCUGGAGGUAAUACCCGGGCAUUAGGUUAUGGGGCUUUGGAAAGGUUUAAGGUUUUUGGCGUUAGGGUUAAAAUCACUGUCCAAAAACCUUUGUAGGAACUCUUUUCCAACCUUUUGGAGUUAGGUAGACCAAAAAAAAAAAGAAAAAAGAAAAAAAAAUAUUUGGGGUGUUCGGGCUUCCUGAAGGUAAUACCCGGGUAUUAGGUUUUGGGGCUAGGGUAAGGUUUGAGGUUUUUGGCAUUAGGGUUAAAAUCACUGUCCAAAACCUUUGUAGGAACUCUUUUCCAACCUUUUGGAGUUAGUUAGACCAAAAAAAAAGAAAAAUGAAAAAAAUAUAUUUUGGGUUUUCGGGCUUCCUGAAGGCAAUACCCGGGAAUCAGUUUCUGGGGCUUUGGAAAGGUUUAAGGUUUUUGGCGUUAGGGUUAAAAUCACUGUCCAAAACCUUUGUAGGAACUCUUUUCCAAGCUUUUGAGUUAGUUAGACCAAAAAAAAAUUAAAAAUGAAAUAAAAAAUAUUUGGAUUGCAAAAAUAUAUCAAGAUCCAAAGAUGGUGUGCGCACUUGUCUGUGGUCAUUUACCAUUAUAAUGAAUGGGAGGCGCAGUUUCUACCAAAACACUUGCUGCAGACAAACUUCAUGACCUAUAUGAAAAAAGUCUGGACCAUGAGUGAGGGCACAAACACAGCUAGUAUAUAUCCAAAUGGCAAGUUGCUCCUCCUUUCGGUUUUGCAGAGAGAGCGGUGUGUUUGAGCCAUUGAGCGAUGGGCAGGAAAAACUUGACUUUUUCUCCUGCCUUGGGGGGGCGCUCUUUUGGUGAGAAAAAAAUUACUUCACAAAUGUUUUGAUGGCUGAACAUUGCAUCAUCCUAGAAAACUUGGAUGAGUGGCCAAAACUUCUUUGUCUGCUGUAAAAUCAAAUUGGAUUAAUAUUUUUUCCAGAUUUUUUUUUGUACAUCUCUUAUUUUACUUCUGCCCUGUUCAAAACUAGCAAAUGUUUCAUUAAAGAUAUUUUUUUAACCCUUUAAGAGCCUUUUAAAUUUUUCUGUAGUAUCAGAUUUAAUAGACAACUCCUUUGGCGCCACUCAGUGGCCAUAACUACUUUGUCUGCUGUUAAUAGACAACUCCCUUUGGCGCCACUCAGUGGCCAAAACAAUUUGUAAUCAUAUGGAUUUUUGGGUUAUCUUUGGCGCCCCCUAGAACGUAAAACGUGGGGUUCAGCGUCAUGAUUUGUACAACUUUGAAUGGUCAGUUAGACCAAAAAGAAUGAAAAAUGAAAAGAAAAUAUUUGGGGUUUUCGGGCUUCCUGAAGGUAAUACCCGGGUAUCAGGUUAUGGGGCUAUGGUAAGGUUUAAGGUUUUUGGCGUUAGGGUUAAAAUCACUGUCCAAAACCUUUGGAGGAACUCUUUUCCAACCUUUUGGAGUUAGUUAGACCAAAAAAAAGAAAAAUGAAAAAAAAAUAUUUGGGGUUUUCGGGCUUCCUGAUGGCAAUACCCGGGAAUCAGUUUCUGGGGCUUUGGAAAGGUUUAAGGUUUUUGGCGUUAGGGUUAAAAUCACUGUCCAAAACCUUUGUAGGAACUCUUUUCCAAGCUUUUGGAGUUAGUUACACCAAAAAAAAAAGAAAAAUGAAAAAAUAUUUGGGGUGUUCGGGCUUCCUGAAGGUAAUACCCAGGUAUUAGGUUAUGGGGCUAGGGUAAGGUUUUAGGUUUUUGGCGUUAGGGUUAAAAUCAAUGUCCAAAACCUUUGUAGGAACUCUUUUCCAAGCUUUUGGAGUUAGUUAGACCAAAAAAACAUGAAAAAUGAAAAAAUAUAUAUUUGGGGUGUUCGGGCAUCCUGAAGGUAAUACCCGGGUAUUAGGUUUUGGGGCUAAGGUAAGGUUUAAGGUUUUUGGCGUGAGGGUUAAAAUCACUGUCAAAAACCUUUGUAGGAACUCUUUUCCAACCUUUUGGAGUCAGUAUGACCAAAAAAAAAUAAAAAAAAUGUAUUUGGGGUGUUCGGGCUUCCUGAAGGUAGUACCCGGGUAUUAGGUUAUGGGGCUUAGGAAAGGUUUAAGGUUUUUGGCGUUAGGGUUAAAAUCACUGUCCAAAACCUUUGUAGGAACUCUUUUCCAACCUUUUUGAGUCAGUUAGACCAAAAAAAAAGAAAAAAGAAAAAAAUAUAUUUGCGGUUUUCAGGCUUCCUGGAGGUAAUACCCGGGUAUUAGGUUAUGGGGCUUAGGAAAGGUUUAAGGUUUUUGGUGAUAGGGUUAAAAUAACUGUCCAAAACCUUUUUAGGAACAUGUUUCAGACCUUUUGGAGUUGGUUACACCAAAAAAAAAUGUAAAAUGAAAAAAAAAUAUUUGGGGUGUUCAGGCUUCCUGAAGGUAAUACCCGGGUAUUAGGUUAUGGGGCUAUGGUAAGGUUUAAGGUUUUUGACGUAAGGGUGAAAAUAUCUGUCCAAAACCUUUGUAGGAACUCUUUUCCAACCUUAUGGAGUUCGUUAGACCAAAAAAACAAGAAAAAUGAAAAAAAAAUAUUUGGGGUGUUCGGACUUCCUGAAGGUAAUACCCGGGUAUUAGGUUAUGGGGCUAUGGUAAGGUUUAAGGUUUUUGACGUUAGGGUGAAAAUAACUUUCCAAAACCUUUGUAGGAACUCUUUUCCAACCUUAUGGAGUUCGUUAGACCAAAAAAAAAAGAAAAAUGAAAAAAAAAAAUUUGGGGUGUUCGGGCUUCCUGAAGGUAAUACCCAGGCAUUAGGUUUUGGGGCUAGGGUAAGGUUUGAGGUUUUUGGCAUUAGGGUUAAAAUCACUGUCCAAUACCUUUUUAGGAACACGUUUCAGACCUUUUGGAGUUUGUACACCAAAAAAAAAAUGUAAAAUUAAAAAAAAAUAUUUGGGGUGUUCAGGCUUCCUGAAGGUAAUACCCGGGUAUCAGGUUAUGGGGCUAUGGUAAGGUUUAAGGUUUUUGGCGUUAGGGUUAAAAUCACUGUCCAAAACCUUUGUAGGAACUCUUUUCCAACCUUUUGGAGUCAGUUCGACCAAAAAAAAAGAAAAAUGAAAAAAAAAAUAUUUGGGGUUUUCAGGCUUCCUGGAGGUAAUACCGUAAUAUUAGGUUAAGGGGCUAUGGUAAGGUUUAAGGUUUUUGGCGAUAGGGUUAAACUAACUGUCCAAAACCUUUUUAGGAACAUGUUUCAGACCUUUUGGAGUUGGUUACACACAAAAAAAUGUAAAAUGAAAAAAAAAUAUUUGGGGUGUUCGGGCUUCCUGAAGGUAAUAACCGGGUAUUAGGUUAUGGGGCUAUGGUAAGGUUUAAGGUUUUUGACGUUAGGGUGAAAAUAACUGUCCAAAACCUUUGUAGGAACUCUUUUCCAACCUUUUUGUUACGACCAGCUCGUUUAAGGGAGAAGGGAAGCAACAUAAAACCGACCAGAUGUUAAAUGAUCAAAUCAAGUUAUUUAUUAACAAAAGUAAAAUUGGCAGUAACAACAAAAAGAGAGGCAACAAAGGCCUUAAAGGAAACUUAACAGGUUGCCAAAAACACAGGGAGACUCUAACCUAGAGUUAGUUACCAGUAAAAUAAACAGAUCUGCUCACAAUCGGCAAGAAACAAACUAAAACACAACUCUCAGCCCUAAUGCUGGAUACAAAAGAAAGCAGGUAGGCGUGUGCAAACCAAAAUGCCUCACAAGCUAUGAAAAAGUCCUUAUUCACAAUUACUAAGACAAUCAGUCUGAGGAAGAGGCAUGGGAGCUCCACUGGUUACAGCGUGCUCCCUGAUCUGCAGGUCCGCUGGAGUUUUAUCCACUCCCCCCAAGUGGCUCCUCUCAAUUGGCAGAAGCCCUCAGCCAGUCAGUGUUUGCAGUUUCCAGGUGGAGGUGAUCAGGCACUUAAUUGAUCCGCAGCCACGGCAACCUGUGAACUGCAGGCAGCAUGCACACACAGGCACUCUCACACCCGCACACACACACACACACACAGAGAGAGAGAGGAAGACCCAAGACUCGCCACUCUAAGGCGGCGGCCGUAACACCCCUCCCCUUAAGAGGCAAACCCUCCUAAGGAGGUUUGUCAUGAGCAAAAAAAAAAAAACCACACAGUCAACAUUACAUUCUGGACAACGCAUCUGCUACCACAUUGUCGGACCCCUUUUUGUGCUGGAUCUCCACAUUGUAAUCCUGCAUGACCAGUGCCCACCGCAUAAGCCUUUGGUUGUGGUUAUACAUACGAUGCAGAAAGACGAGUGGGUUGUGGUCAGUGAAGACCACCACUGGCAGAGGACUGGAACCUACGUAUACUUCAAAGUGUUGAAGUGACCAUAACAAAGCAAGGGUUUCUUUUUCUAUGAUUGAGUAGUUCACCUGAUGCUUGUUAAAUUUGCGGGAAAAAUAUCCUACUGGGUGGUCAACUCCAUCACUAUCCUCCUGCAACAGGACAGCCCCGACACCUACUGCAGAGGCAUCUACCUCAAGUUUGAACGGCUGGGAGAAGUCAGGAGCUGCAAGGACAGGGGCGUGGCUAAGGAGGGACUUUGCGCUGUCAAACGCAUGCUGACAGGCAGGGGACCAAUCAAAGUCGACUUUGGGACUAGUUAGAGAAGUCAACGGCUGAACAACGGAGGAGAAGUUGCGGCAGAAGCUACGGUAGUAGCCCGCCAUGCCCAGAAAACGACGGAGCGCCUUGCGGGUGGUUGGGACCGGAAACUCUGCUAUGGCAGUUACCUUGGCGUCGAGAGGCUUAACUUGACCCUGCCCAACCUGUCGUCCUAAAUAGGUGACGGUGGCCUUACCGAAAUCACACUUGGCGAGAUUUAGCGUUAGGGUCGCGUGCGCAAGACGAGUGAACACCUGUUCGAGGAUGCGGAGGUGCUCCUGCCACGUCACUGUGUAAACAAUUAAGUCAUCCAAGUACGCGUUACAGUUUGGCAGCCCGGCCAAGACGGUAUUAACGAGCCGCUGGAAGGUGGCCGGGGCGUUACACAUGCCAAACGCCAUGACGGUGUACUGCAAGAAACAGUCAGGAGUCACAAACGCGGAGAUCUCAGAUGCGCGCUCCGUUAACGGGACUUGCCAGUAUCCUUUCAAUAGGUCCAGCUUGCUGACGUACUUAGCGCUGCCAAGCGUGUCGACACAAUCUUCCAUUCUAGGAAGAGGAACGAGUCUUUGACAGUUACUGAAUUUACCUUUCGCAGAUCUGUGAUAAAACGAGGGGUACCGUCUGAUUUUUUCUCCAACAAACAUGGAGAGCUCCAAGCGCUGGAGCUUGGCACAGCUAAACCGUGUUUUAACAAAUAAUCUGUUUCUUUUUUCAUGAGCUGGCGCUUCACGGGGUUGAGUCUGUACGGAUGCUGUCGGAUGGGCUUUGCUCCGUUGACAUCUAUGUCAUGUUGCAGAACAGUAGUGCGAGUUGGAACGUCGCCGAAAAGACACUUAAAAUUAUCGAUCAAAGCAAUUAGGUCACUUUGUUGCGCGCGGGUCAAAUGACUUAGCUGGGACGAUAAUGUUUUCAGUGACUCCGAAUUCAGCAGUCGCGCUGUUUGAUGCGAUGAGGUACACGUCUGUAAAUCAUCCUCAUCAGCAAUGGUAGGAGACUCAGUGACAAUCAGCGCAUUGACAGCGAUAGUAUUAGCUUUUGGGGGAACCACUGGUGGAGUGACAGCUGGGUUCGGUUCACGUGUGAAGUAAGGUUUGAGCAUGUUUAUGUGACAAACACGACUUUUACGCCUUCUCUCCGGGGUAGCAAUAACAUAGUUGAGGUCACUGAGGCAUUCACGGACCUCAUAGGGACCGGUAAAUUUAGCAGAGAGAGAAGAACCAGGGAUCGGCAGAAAGGCCAGCACUUUGUCACCAACAUCAAAUCGGCGGGGGGCCGGCAGAUCGGUCAUAACGACGCUUCAUCACAGCCUGGGAGGACAAAAGACACUCUUUAGCGAGCGAGUUUGCACGGUGUAAACGCUCGCGGAAUUUACUCACAAAAUCAAGUACGUUCUCUUCACGUGAGACUUCAGAGGACAGGAAUUUUUCUUGCAGAGAUUUAAGCGGACCGCGGAGUGUGUGGCCAAAUACGAGCUCUGCGGGGCUCAAACCUAAGGAUUCCUGGACAGCGUCACGAGCGGCGAACAACACGAAAGGAACCCCUUCAUCCCAACUUUUACCUGUCUCGAGGGAGUAUUUACGCAGCAUGGAUUUUAAUGUCUGAUGCCAACGUUCUAACGCUCCCUGGGAUUCAGGAUGAUACGCGCUGGACACGGAGUGUUGGACAUUGAGCGUUUUAAGGACUUGUCUGAACAACCGAGACUGGAAGUUUGUACCUUGAUCGGUCUGGAUAACACGAGGGAGGCCAAACGUGGAGAAAAACUUUGUCAGGGCUUUGACAACAGAGCUGGACGUAAUUUUACGCAGCGGGACGGCUUCCGGAUAGCGGGUGGCAGCACACAUAAUGGUGAGUAGGUACUGAUUACCUGUUUUAGAGCGGGGCAAUGGGCCUACACAGUCUAAGAUUACACGCUCAAAGGGCUCACCUAUGGUAGGAAAAGGAUGGAGUGGAGCAGGUGGGAUGGUUUGGUUUGGUUUACCCGCUAGUUGACACACAUGACAAGAGCGACAGAAUUUGGCUACAUCAGAUUUUAACCCAGGCCAGAAGAAAUGCUUGAGGAUGAGGUUGUAGGUCUUAUUCACCCCCAAAUGACCUGACCAUUUGCUCUCGUGGGCAACUGACAAUACAUGCUGCCGGUAUACAAAAGGCACUACAACUUGUAAAGCACUAUAUUCGCAAUCAGACACUGCAAGAGUCCAUUUACGCACCAGGAUGUCUUUAUUCAUUAGGUAAGAUACUGUUUCACCACUUGCUUUGUCGGCACUCACCACACUUUUGAAGCAACGUGCCAGAGUCGGGUCAGCCCUCUGCGCAGCGGCGAGACGUUCACUGCCCACCGGCAGCGUCGGACUGUCCGACGGCGCCGAACUCAGAUUCGCAGAACGCACGGGCUCGGCACUUUCUGACCGCAGAGAUGUGAGAGCUUUCUCCUUCACAACUUCCACAUCUGAAAAAGCAGACAUUAGCACAGAAUCCGACAGUGAGAAUUCAUCCAGUUUACGAGAUUGCGCACGAGUUACAGCACAAGAUGGAAACGGUUUCUGAGCAGUUUCUGUUUCAUUUUCUAUAUCAGGGCUCUGCGGAGAGUCAGACACUUCUAGUGCAGGGGUUACCUGGCCACCAGCGAUGUCGUUGCACAUAAGUAGAACUACUCCUUUUAUAGGCAGAGCGGGACAAACAGCCACAGGAAAAACACCACUUAUCAACCGGGACUUAAUGUGGACUGUAUGCACCGGUUGUGGGACAUAACCCAUCUCAAUACCUUGCAAGGCAACAGUAUAACCACAAAAAGACUUUUCAGAAAAUGGCAAUGCACUAGCCAGUAUAACAGAUUGAGAGCCACCGGUGUCCCUCAAAAUGCGUACUGGGCACUGAUCAGCAGUCUUACCUGUCAGAGAUACAUACCCGUCGAAUAUGAACGGCUCAAAACAUGGAUCUGGGCAAACAGAAGAAACAGCAUUAGAUACUACACGUUUCUCAGAUUUAAUGAGCCCAACGCCUUUAGGGGGCGAUCCGUUGCCAUUCUGUUUUUUCCUGUUUAAGGAGGGACAGUUUGCAAUGAGGUGUCCAGAUUCAUGACAAUAGUUACAGCUUCUUUCAUCCCUUCUGUGGAACACUCUGGCUUGUCCUCUCUGUGGUGCCGGAGCACGAGGCUUUUCAUAAGUAGACAAAAACACAGGUUUGUGGGUUAGCACAAAUUCAUCAGCCAGUACAGAGGCUGCAGAGAGAGAUGAAACUUUCUGUUCAUUUAGGUACACAACAAUGCGCUCUGGUAGACAUUUCUUAAAUUCUUCCAGAAGAAUUAGUUCACGGAGUGAACUGAAAUCAGCAGUUUUACUAGCGUUACACCAUUUAUCAAAAAGAGUUCCCUUUUCCCUUGCGAACUCCACAUACGUCUGUUCAGGGCCCCUUGUGUGGUUCCGAAAUUUUUGCCUGUAAGCUUCAGGGACUAAUUCAUAGGCACGUUAAAUAGACAUCUUUACCUUUUCAUAGUUCAGGCUCUCCGCUAAAGGUAGAGCAGCUACAGCUUCUUGUGCUUUACCAUGGAUCUUACAUUGGAGAAGUAGUGGCCACUCUUCAUAAGGCCACUGAAGUGCAGUCGCAAUGCGCUCAAAUGCCGGAAAAUAACUGUCAACUUCAGAGUCUCUGAAUGGUGGAACAAGAGAAAUAUGCUUACCAAUGUCAAAGGACUCUCGGGUAGAGCUGGUGGAAGGAGGUGACAUUAUUGCAUCUGCAGAUGCAUCCAGUGCCGGGGUUGCUUUCAGCUGAGCUUCUAGCUCCAGCUGACGUAGUCGGACUGCUUUAUCAGCCUCGAUCUCCAUUUUACGGAUCUCAAGCCUCAGCUUUGCUUGCCGGUUCUCGGCUCUCUCCUGAGCCUCCAUCUGGAUUCGUGCCAGCCUGACUUUCAGUCUGGCCUCACCCAGAGAAUCAGUGCUGCCUGAGAAAGGAGGAUCAUAGCGAGGCAAGGUAAAGGGAGUUUUGGGCUGAGCAGACACUUUACUGAACUCCCUUUGUGCAGUGUAAUCAGCCGCAGUCUCAGAGCCAGGUGCACACACAGGUGACUCAGGGAGCACCGGCAAAACAAUUACACCUAAUUCCACCAACUUACCUAUGACUAGAGAUUUUAAUUCUUUUUUCAGGAUUGAUUUGGCAAACAGGACAUUGAAGUGCACAGCUAUCUCGACCAAAUUAUCCUUUCUGCACUUAUUAAUUUGGUCAAGUGUCGGAUUUAACAAGAAGCUGUCAAGAUUGAAAGAUGCCAUUUUACCUACCUAAGCACACACACAAUAAUCUUACCUUUAGUAACAAUAACUUUUCGGAUUUCCGGGUCUCCUUUAACGGAUUAGGAUCCCGGACGAGCCCCCAUUUAUGUUACGACCAGCUCGUUUAAGGGAGAAGGGAAGCAACAUAAAACCGACCAGAUGUUAAAUGAUCAAAUCAAGUUAUUUAUUAACAAAAGUAAAAUUGGCAGUAACAACAAAAAGAGAGGCAACAAAGGCCUUAAAGGAAACUUAACAGGUUGCCAAAAACACAGGGAGACUCUAACCUAGAGUUAGUUACCAGUAAAAUAAACAGAUCUGCUCACAAUCGGCAAGAAACAAACUAAAACACAACUCUCAGCCCUAAUGCUGGAUACAAAAGAAAGCAGGUAGGCGUGUGCAAACCAAAAUGCCUCACAAGCAAUGAAAAAGUCCUUAUUCACAAUUACUAAGACAAUCAGUCUGAGGAAGAGGCAUGGGAGCUCCACUGGUUACAGCGUGCUCCCUGAUCUGCAGGUCCGCUGGAGUUUUAUCCACUCCCCCCAAGUGGCUCCUCUCAAUUGGCAGAAGCCCUCAGCCAGUCAGUGUUUGCAGUCAGUUUCCAGGUGGAGGUGAUCAGGCACUUAAUUGAUCCGCAGCCACGGCAACCUGUGAACUGCAGGCAGCAUGCACACACAGGCACUCUCACACCCGCACACACACACACACACAGAGAGAGAGAGAGAGGAAGACCCAAGACUCGCCACUCUAAGGCGGUGGCCGUAACACUUUUGGAGUUAGGUAGACCAAAGAAAAAAGAAAAAAGAAAAAAGAAAAAAAGAUAUUUGGGGUGUUCGGGCUUCCUGAAGGUAAUACCCGGGUAUUAGGUUUUGGUGCUAGGGUAAGGUUUGAGGUUUUUGGCAUUAGGGUUAAAAUCACUGUCCAAAACCUUUUUAGGAACACCUUUCAGACCUUUUGGAGUUUGUACACCAAAAAAAAAAAGUAAAAUGAAAAAAAAAUAUUUGGGGUGUUCGGGCUUCCUGAAGGUAAUACCCGGGUAUUAGGUUUUGGGGCUAAGGUAAGGUUUAAGGUUUUUGGUGUGAGGGUUAAAAUCACUGUCCAAGGCCUUUGUAGGAACUCUUUUCCAACCUUUUGGAGUCAGUUACACCAAAAAAAAAAUGUAAAAUGAAAAAAAAAUAUUUGGGGUGUUCGGGCUUCCUGAAGGUAAUACCCCGGUAUUAGGUUAUGGGGCUAUGGUAAGGGUUAAGGUUUUUGGAUUAGGGUUAAAAUCACUGUCCAAAACCUUUUUAGGAACAUGUUUCAGACCUUUUGCAGUUGGUUAAACCAAAAAAAAAUGUAAAAUGAAAAAAAAAAUAUUUGGGGUGUUCGGGCUUCCUGAAGGACCUAUUAGGUUAUGGGACUAUGGUAAGGUUUAAGGUUUUUGGCGUAAGGGUUAAAACCACUGUCCAAAACCUUUGUAGGAACUCUUUUCAUACCUUUUGGAGUUAGUUAGACCAAAAAAAAUGAAAAAUGAAAUAAAAAUAUUUGGGGUGUUCGGGCUUCCUGAAGGUCAUCCCCGGGUAUUAGGUUUUGGGGCUAGGGUAAGGUUUAAGGUUUUUGGCGUAAGGGUUAAAAUCCCUGUCCAAAACCUUUGUAGGAACUCUUUUCCAACCUUUUGGAGUUAGUUAGACCAAAAAAAAAAUGAAAAAUUAAAAAAAAAUAUUUGGGGUGUUCGGGCUUCCUGAAGGUAAUACCCGGGUAUUAGGUUAUGGGGCUUAGGUAAAGUUUAAGGUUUUUGGCGUUAGGGUUAAAAUCACUGUCCAAAACCUUUGUAGGAACUCUUUUCCAACCUUUUGGAGUCAAUUAGACCAAAAAAAAAAAGAAAAAUGAAAAAAAAAUAUUUGGGGUGUUCAGGCUUCCUGAAGGUAAUACCCGGGUAUUAGGUUAUGGGGCUAUGGUAAGGUUUAAGGUUUUUGGCGAUAGGGUUAAACUAACUUUCCAAAACCUUUUUAGGAACAUGUUUCAGACCUUUUGGAGUUAGUUAGACCAAAAAAAAAUGAAAAAUGAAAAAAAAAUAUUUGGGGUGUUCGGGCUUCCUGAAGGUAAUACCCGGGUAUUAGGUUAUGGGGCUAUGGUAAGGUUUAAGGUUUUUGGCAUUAGGGUUAAAAUCACUGUCCAAAACCUUUGUAGGAACUCUUUUCCAACCUUUUGGAGUUAGUUAGACCAAAAAAAAAAGAAAAAUGAAAAAAAAAUAUUUGGGGUUUUCGGGCUUCCUGAAGGUAAUACCCGGGUAUUAGGUUUUUGGGCUAGGGUAAGGUUUGAGGUUUAGGCGUAAGGGUUAAAAUCACUGUCCAAAACCUUUUUUAGGAACAUGUUUCAGACCUUUUGCAGUUGGUUAAACCAAAAAAAAAAAGUAAAAUGAAAAAAAAAUAUUUGGGGUGUUCGGGCUUCCUGAAGGUAAUACCCGGGUAUUAGGUUAUGGGGCUAUGGUAAGGUUAAAGGUUUUUGGCUUUAGGGUUAAAAUCACUGUCCAAAACCUUUGUAGAAACUCGUUUCCAACCUUUUGGCGUUAGUUAGACCAAAAAAAAAUGAAAAAUGAAAAAAAAAAUAUUUGGGUUGUUCGGGCUUCCUGAAGGUAAUACCCAGGUAUUAGGUUAUGGGGCUUUGGAAAGUUUUAGGUUUUUUGCAUUAGGGUUAAAAUCACUAUCCGAAACCAUUGUAGGAACUCUUUUCCAACAGUUCGGAGUUAGUUAGACCAAAAAAAAAUGAAAAAUGAAAUAAAAAAUAUUUGGGGUGUUCGGGCUUCCUGAAGGUAAUACCCGGGUAUUAGGUUAUGGGGCUAGGGUAAGGUUUGAGGUUUUUGGCAUUAGGGUUAAAAUCACUGUCCAAAACCUUUGUAGGAACUCUUUUCCAACCUUUUGGAGUCAGUUAGACCAAAAAAAAAUGAAAAAUGAAAAAAAAAUAUUUGGGGUUUUCGGGCUUCCUGAAGGUAAUACCCGGGUAUCAGGUUAUGGGGCUAUGGUAAGGUUUAAGGUUUUUGGCGUUAGGGUUAAAAUCACUGUCCAAAACCUUUGUAGGAACUCUUUUCCAACCUUUUGGAGUCAGUUAGACCAAAAAAAAUGAAAAAUGAAAUAAAAAAUAUUUGGGGUGUUCAGGCUUCCUGAAGGUAAUACCCGGGUAUUAGGUUAUGGGGCUAGGGUAAGGUUUUAGGUUUUUGGCAUUAGGGUUAAAAUCACUGUCCAAAACCUUUGUAGGAACUCUUUUCCAAACUUUUGGAGUCAGUUAGACCAAAAAAAAUGAAAAAUGAAAUAAAAAAUAUUUGGGGUGUUCGGGCUUCCUGAAGGUAAUACCCGGGUAUCAGGUUAUGGGGCUAUGGUAAGGUUUAAGGUUUUUGGCGUUAGGGUUAAAAUAACUGUCCAAAACCUUUUUAUGAACAUGUUUCAGACCUUUUGGAGUUGGUUACACCAAAAAAAAAUCUAAAAUGAAAAAAAAAUAUUUGGGGUCUUCAGGUAUUAGGUUAUGGGGCUAUGGUAAGGGUUCAGUUUUUUGGCAUUAGGGUUAAAAUUAUUGUCCAAAACCUUUGUAGGAACUCUUUUCCAACCUUUUGGAGUUAGUUAGACCAAAAAAAAAAAGAAAAAUGAAAAAAAAAUAUUUGGGGUUUUCGGGCUUCCUGAAGGCAAUACCCGGGAAUCAGUUUCUGGGGCUUUGGAAAGGUUUAAGGUUUUUGGCGUUAGGGAUAAAAUCACUGUCCAAAACCUUUGUAGGAACUCUUUUCCAAGCUUUUGGAGUUAGUUAGACCAAAAAAAAAAAAGAAAAAUGAAAAAAAAUAUAUUUGGGGUGUUCGGGCUUCCUGAAGGUAAUACCCAGGUAUUAGGUUAUGGGGCUAGGGUAAGGUUUUAGGUUUUUGGCGUUAGGGUUAAAAUCAAUGUCCAAAACCUUUGGAGGAACUCUUUUCCAAGCUUUUGGAGUUAGUUAGACCAAAAAAACAUGAAAAAUAAAAAAAAAUAUUUGUGGUUUUUGGGCUUCCUGAAGGUAAUACCCGGGUAUUAGGUUAUGGGGCUUUUGAAAGUUUUAGGGUUUUUGGCAUUAGGGUUAAAAUCACUGUCCAAAACCUUUGUAAGAACUCUUUUCCAAGCUUUUGGAGUUAGUUAGACCAAAAAAAAAUGAAAAAAAAAAUAUAUAUUUGGGGUGUUCGGGCUUCCUGAAGGUAAUACCCGGGUAUUAGGUUAUGGGGCUAUGGUAAGGUUUAAGGUUUUUGGCGUUAGGGUUAAAAUCACUGUCCAAAACCUUUGUAGGAACUCUUUUCCAAGCUUUUGGAGUUGUUACACUAAAAAAAAUGUAAAAUGAAAAAAAAAUAUUUGGGGUGUUCGGGCUUCCUGAAGGUAAUACCCGGGUAUUAGGUUAUGGGGCUAUGGUAAGGUUUGAGGUUUUUGGCGUUAGGGUUAAAAUCACUGUCCAAAACCUUUUUUAGGAACAUGUUUCAGACCUUUUGCAGUUGGUUAAACCAAAAAAAAAAAGUAAAAUGAAAAAAAAAUAUUUGGGGUGUUCGGGCUUCCUGAAGGUAAUACCCGGGUAUUAGGUUAUGGGGCUUAGGAAAGGUUUAAGGUUUUUGGCUUUAGGGUUAAAAUCACUGUCCAAAACCUUUGUAGGAACUCUUUUCCAAGCUUUUGGAGUUAGUUAGACCAAAAAAAAAUGAAAAAUGAAAAAAAAAAUAUUUGGGGUGUUCGGGCUUCCUGAAGGUAAUACCCGGGUAUUAGGUUAUGGGGCUUUGGAAAGUUUUAGGUUUUUUGCAUUAGGGUUAAAAUCACUGUCCAAAACCUUUGUAGGAACUCUUUUCCAACAGUUCGGAGUUAGUUAGACCAAAAAAAAAUGAAAAAUGAAAUAAAAAAUAUUUGGGGUGUUCAGGCUUCCUGAAGGUAAUACCCGGGUAUUAGGUUAUGGGGCUAGGGUAAGGUUUGAGGUUUUUGGCAUUAGGGUUAAAAUCACUGUCCAAAACCUUUGUAGGAACUCUUUUCCAACCUUUUGGAGUUAGACCAAAAAAGAAUGAAAAAUGAAAAGAAAAUAUUUGGGGUGUUCGGGCUUCCUGAAGGUAAUACCCGGGUAUUAGGUUAUGGGGCUAUGGUAAGGUUUAAGGUUUUUGGCGUUAGGGUUAAAAUCACUGUCCAAAACCUUUGUAGGAACUCUUUUCCAACCUUUUGGAGUCAGUUAGACCAAAAAAAAGAAAAAUGAAAUAAAAAAUAUUUGGGGUGUUCAGGCUUCCUGAAGGUAAUACCCGGUAUUAGGUUUUGGGGCUAGGGUAAGGUUUGAGGUUUUUGGCAUUAGGGUUAAAAUCACUGUCCAAAACAUUUUUAGGAACAUGUUUCAGACCUUUUGGAGUUUGUACACCAAAAUAAAAAUGUAAAAUGAAAAAAAAAUAUUUGGGGUGUUCGGGCUUCCUGAAGGUAAUACCCGGGUAUUAGGUUAUGGGGCUAAGGUAAGGUUUAAGGUUUUUGGUGUUAGGGUUAAAAUCACUGUCCAAAACCUUUGUAGGAACUCUUUUCCAACCUUUUGGAGUCAGUUAGACCAAAAAAAAUGUAAAAUGAAAAAAAAAUAUUUGGGGUGUUCGGGCUUCCUGAAGGUAAUACCCCGGUAUUAGGUUAUGGGGCUAUGGUAAGGGUUAAGGUUUUUGGAUUAGGGUUAAAAUCACUGUCCAAAACCUUUUUAGGAACAUGUUUCAGACCUUUUGCAGUUGGUUAAACCAAAAAAAAAUGUAAAAUGAAAAAAAUAUAUUUGGGGUGUUCGGGCUUCCUGAAGGACCUAUUAGGUUAUGGGACUAUGGUAAGGUUUAAGGUUUUUGGCGUUAGGGUUAAAACCACUGUCCAAAACCUUUGUAGGAACUCUUUUCAUACCUUUUGGAGUUAGUUAGACCAAAAAAAAUGAAAAAUGAAAUAAAAAUAUUUGGGGUGUUCGGGCUUCCUGAAGGUAAUACCCGGGUAUUAGGUUAUGGGGCUAUGGUAAGGGUUCAGUUUUUUGGCAUUAGGGUUAAAAUUAUUGUCCAAAACCUUUGUAGGAACUCUUUUCCAACCUUUUGGAGUUAGUUAGACCAAAAAAAAAUGAAAAAUGAAAAAAAAAAUAUUUGGGGUUUUCGGGCUUCCUGAAGGUAAUACCCGGGUAUUAGGUUAUGGGGCUUUGGAAAGGUUUAAGGUUUUUGGCGUUAGGGUUAAAAUCACUGUCCAAAACCUUUGUAGGAACUCUUUUCCAAGCUUUUGGAGUUAGUUAGACCAAAAAAAAAUGAAAAAUGAAAAAAAAAUAUUUGGGGUGUUCGGGCUUCCUGAAGGUAAUCCCCGGGUAUUAGGUUAUGGGGCUAGGGUAAGGUUUUAGGUUUUUGGCGUUAGGGUUAAAAUCAAUGUCCAAAACCUUUGGAGGAACUCUUUUCCAAGCUUUUGGAGUUAGUUAGACCAAAAAAACAUGAAAAAUAAAAAAAAAAUAUUUGUGGUUUUUGGGCUUCCUGAAGGUAAUACCCGGGUAUUAGGUUAUGGGGCUUUUGAAAGUUUUAGGGUUUUUGGCAUUAGGGUUAAAAUCACUGUCCAAAACCUUUGUAGGAACUCUUUUCCAACAUUUCGGAGUUCGUUAGACCAAAAAAAAGAUGAAAAAAUAUAUAUAUAUAUUUGGGGUGUUCGGGCUUUCUUAAGGUAAUACCCGGGUAUUGAAUUAUGGGGCUAUGGUAAGGUUUAAGGUUUUUGGUGUUAAGGUUAAAAUCACUGUCCAAAACCUUUGUAGGAACUCUUUUCCAAGCUUUUGGAGCUGGUUACACUAAAAAAAAUGUAAAAUGAAAAAAAAUAUUUGGGGUGUUCGGGCUUCCUGAAGGUAAUACCCGGGUAUUAGGUUAUGGGGCUAUGGUAAGGUUUGAGGUUUAGGCGUUAGGGUUAAAAUCACUGUCCAAAACCUUUUUUAGGAACAUGUUUCAGACCUUUUGCAGUUGGUUAAACCAAAAAAAAAAAGUAAAAUGAAAAAAAAAUAUUUGGGGUGUUCGGGCUUCCUGAAGGUAAUACCCGGUAUUAGGUUAUGGGGCUUAGGAAAGGUUUAAGGUUUUUGGCUUUAGGGUUAAAAUCACUGUCCAAAACCUUUGUAGGAACUCUUUUCCAAGCGUUUGGAGUUAGUUAGACCAAAAAAAAAUGAAAAAUGAAAAAAAAAAUAUUUGGGUUGUUCGGGCUUCCUGAAGGUAAUACCCAGGUAUUAGGUUAUGGGGCUUUGGAAAGUUUUAGGUUUUUUGCAUUAGGGUUAAAAUCACUAUCCGAAACCUUUGUAGGAACUCUUUUCCAACAGUUCGGAGUUAGUUAGACCAAAAAAAAAUGAAAAAUGAAAUAAAAAAUAUUUGGGGUGUUCAGGCUUCCUGAAGGUAAUACCCGGGUAUUAGGUUAUGGGGCUAGGGUAAGGUUUGAGGUUUUUGGCAUUAGGGUUAAAAUCACUGUCCAAAACCUUUGUAGGAACUCUUUUCCAACCUUUUGGAGUUAGACCAAAAAAGAAUGAAAAAUGAAAAGAAAAUAUUUGGGGUUUUCGGGCUUCCUGAAGGUAAUACCCGGGUAUCAGGUUAUGGGGCUAUGGUAAGGUUUAAGGUUUUUGGCGUUAGGGUUAAAAUCACUGUCCAAAACCUUUGUAGGAACUCUUUUCCAAGCUUUUGGAGCUGGUUACACUAAAAAAAAUGUAAAAUGAAAAAAAAAUAUUUGGGGUGUUCGGGCUUCCUGAAGGUAAUACCCGGGUAUUAGGUUAUGGGGCUAUGGUAAGGUUUGAGGUUUAGGCGUUAGGGUUAAAAUCACUGUCCAAAACCUUUUUUAGGAACAUGUUUCAGACCUUUUGCAGUUGGUUAAACCAAAAAAAAAAGUAAAAUGAAAAAAAAAUAUUUGGGGUCUUCGGGCUUCCUGAAGGUAAUACCCGGUAUUCGGUUAUGGGGCUUAGGAAAGGUUUAAGGUUUUUGGCAUGAGGGUUAAAAUCACUGUCCAAAACCUUUGUAGGAACUCUUUUCCAAGCGUUUGGAGUUAGUUAGACCAAAAAAAAAUGAAAAAUGAAAAAAAAAAUAUUUGGGUUGUUCGGGCUUCCUGAAGGUAAUACCCAGGUAUUAGGUUAUGGGGCUUUGGAAAGUUUUAGGUUUUUUGCAUUAGGGUUAAAAUCACUAUCCGAAACCUUUGUAGGAACUCUGUUCCAACAGUUCGGAGUUAGUUAGACCAAAAAAAAAUGAAAAAUGAAAUGAAAAAUAUUUGGGGUGUUCAGGCUUCCUGAAGGUAAUACCCGGGUAUUAGGUUAUGGGGCUAGGGUAAGGUUUAAGGUUUUUGGCAUUAGGGUUAAAAUCACUGUCCAAAACCUUUGUAGGAACUCUUUUCCAACCUUUUGGAGUUAGACCAAAAAAGAAUGAAAAAUGAAAAGAAAAUAUUUGGGGUUUUCGGGCUUCCUGAAGGUAAUACCCGGGUAUUAGGUUAUGGGGCUAUGGUAAGGUUUAAGGUUUUUGGCGUUAGGGUUAAAAUCACUGUCCAAAACCUUUGUAGGAACUCUUUUCCAACCUUUUGGAGUCAGUAAGACAAAAAAAAUGAAAAAUGAAAUAAAAAAUAUUUGGGGUGUUCAGGCUUCCUGAAGGUAAUACCCGGUAUUAGGUUAUGGGGCUAUGGUAAGGUUUAAGGUUUUUGGCGAUAGGGUUAAACUAACUGUCCAAAACCUUUUUAUGAACAUGUUUCAGACCUUUUGGAGUUGGUUACACCAAAAAAAAAUGUAAAAUGAAAAAAAAAUAUUUGGGGUCUUCAGGUAUUAGGUUAUGGGGCUAUGGUAAGGGUUCAGUUUUUUGGCAUUAGGGUUAAAAUUAUUGUCCAAAACCUUUGUAGGAACUCUUUUCCAACCUUUUGGAGUUAGUUAGACCAAAAAAAAAAAGAAAAAUGAAAAAAAAAUAUUUGGGGUUUUCGGGCUUCCUGAAGGCAAUACCCGGGAAUCAGUUUCUGGGGCUUUGGAAAGGUUUAAGGUUUUUGGCGUUAGGGAUAAAAUCACUGUCCAAAACCUUUGUAGGAACUCUUUUCCAAGCUUUUGGAGUUAGUUAGACCAAAAAAAAAAAAGAAAAAUGAAAAAAAAUAUAUUUGGGGUGUUCGGGCUUCCUGAAGGUAAUACCCAGGUAUUAGGUUAUGGGGCUAGGGUAAGGUUUUAGGUUUUUGGCGUUAGGGUUAAAAUCAAUGUCCAAAACCUUUGGAGGAACUCUUUUCCAAGCUUUUGGAGUUAGUUAGACCAAAAAAACAUGAAAAAUAAAAAAAAAAUAUUUGUGGUUUUUGGGCUUCCUGAAGGUAAUACCCGGGUAUUAGGUUAUGGGGCUUUUGAAAGUUUUAGGGUUUUUGGCAUUAGGGUUAAAAUCACUGUCCAAAACCUUUGUAGGAACUCUUUUCCAACAUUUCGGAGUUCGUUAGACCAAAAAAAAGAUGAAAAAAUAUAUAUAUAUAUUUGGGGUGUUCGGGCUUUCUUAAGGUAAUACCCGGGUAUUGAAUUAUGGGGCUAUGGUAAGGUUUAAGGUUUUUGGUGUUAAGGUUAAAAUCACUGUCCAAAACCUUUGUAGGAACUCUUUUCCAAGCUUUUGGAGCUGGUUACACUAAAAAAAAUGUAAAAUGAAAAAAAAAUAUUUGGGGUGUUCGGGCUUCCUGAAGGUAAUACCCGGGUAUUAGGUUAUGGGGCUAUGGUAAGUUUUAAGGUUUUUGGUGUUAGGGUUAAAAUCACUGUCCAAAACCUUUGUAGGAACUCUUUUCCAACCUUUUGGAGUUAGUUAGACCAAAAAAAAAAGAAAAAAGGAAUAAAAAAUAUUUGGGGUUUUCGGGCUUCCUGAAGGUAAUACCCGGGUAUUAGGUUUUGGGGCUAGGGUAAGGUUUGAGGUUUUUGGCAUUAGGGUUAAAAUCACUGUCCAAAACAUUUUUAGGAACAUGUUUCAGACCUUUUGGAGUUUGUACACCAAAAUAAAAAUGUAAAAUGAAAAAAAAAUAUUUGGGGUGUUCGGGCUUCCUGAAGGUAAUACCCGGGUAUUAGGUUUUGGGGCUAAGGUAAGGUUUAAGGUUUUUGGUGUGAGGGUUAAAAUAACUGUCCAAGGCCUUUGUAUGAACUCUUUUCCAACCUUUUGGAGUCAGUUACACCAAAAAAAAAAUGUAAAAUGAAAAAAAAAUAUUUGGGGUGUUCGGGCUUCCUGAAGGUAAUACCCCGGUAUUAGGUUAUGGGGCUAUGGUAAGGGUUAAGGUUUUUGGAUUAGGGGUUAAAAUCACUGUCCAAAACCUUUUUAGGAACAUGUUUCAGACCUUUUGCAGUUGGUUAAACCAAAAAAAAAUGUAAAAUGAAAAAAAUAUAUUUGGGGUGUUCGGGCUUCCUGAAGGACCUAUUAGGUUAUGGGACUAUGGUAAGGUUUAAGGUUUUUGGCGUUAGGGUUAAAACCACUGUCCAAAACCUUUGUAGGAACUCUUUUCAUACCUUUUGGAGUUAGUUAGACCAAAAAAAAUGAAAAAAGGAAAUAAAUAUAUUUGGGGUGUUCGGGCUUCCUGAAGGUAAUACCCGGGUAUUAGGUUAUGGGGCUAUGGUAAGGGUUCAGUUUUUUGGCAUUAGGGUUAAAAUUAUUGUCCAAAACCUUUGUAGGAACUCUUUUCCAACCUUUUGGAGUUAGUUAGACCAAAAAAAAAAAGAAAAAUGAAAAAAAAAUAUUUGGGGUUUUUGGGCUUCCUGAAGGCAAUACCCGGGAAUCAGUUUCUGGGGCUUUGGAAAGGUUUAAGGUUUUUGGCGUUAGGGUUAAAAUCACUGUCCAAAACCUUUGUAGGAACUCUUUUCCAAGCUUUUGGAGUUAGUUAGACCAAAAAAAAUGAAAAAUGAAAAAAAAAAUAUUUGGGGUGUUCAUGCUUCCUGAAGGUAAUACCCAGGUAUUAGGUUAUGGGGCUAGGGUAAGGUUUUAGGUUUUUGGCGUUAGGGUUAAAAUCAAUGUCCAAAACCUUUGGAGGAACUCUUUUCCAAGCUUCUGCAGUUAGUUAGACCAAAAAAACAUGAAAAAUAAAAAAAUAUAUAUUUGGGGUGUUCAGGCAUCCUGAAGGUAAUACCCGGGUAUUAGGUUUUGGGGCUAAGGUAAGGUUUAAGGUUUUUGGCGUGAGGGUUAAAAUCACUGUCAAAAACCUUUGUAGGAACUCUUUUCCAACCUUUUGGAGUCAGUAUGACCAAAAAAAAAAAAAAAAAAAAAAAAAAAAUGUAUUUGGGGUGUUCGGGCUUCCUGAAGGUAAUACCCGGGUAUUAGGUUAUGGGGCUUAGGAAAGGUUUAAGGUUUUUGGCGUUAGGGUUAAAAUCACUGUCCAAAACCUUUGUAGGAACUCUUUUCCAACCUUUUGGAGUUAGGUAGACCAAAAAAAAAAGAAAAAAGAAAAAAAAAUAUUUGGGGUGUUCGGGCUUCCUGAAGGUAAUACCCGGGUAUUAGGUUUUUGGGCUAGGGUAAGGUUUGAGGUUUAGGCGUUAGGGUUAAAAUCACUGUCCAAAACCUUUUUAGGAACAUGUUUCAGACCUUUUGCAGUUGGUUAAACCAAAAAAAAAAAGUAAAAUGAAAAAAAAAUAUUUGGGGUGUUCGGGCUUCCUGAAGGUAAUACCCGGUAUUAGGUUAUGGGGCUUAGGAAAGGUUUAAGGUUUUUGGCUUUAGGGUUAAAAUCACUGUCCAAAACCUUUGUAGGAACUCUUUUCCAAGCGUUUGGAGUUAGUUAGACCAAAAAAAAAUGAAAAAUGAAAAAAAAAAUAUUUGGGUUGUUCGGGCUUCUUGAAGGUAAUACCCAGGUAUUAGGUUAUGGGGCUUUGGAAAGUUUUAGGUUUUUUGCAUUAGGGUUAAAAUCACUAUCCGAAACCUUUGUAGGAACUCUUUUCCAACAGUUCGGAGUUAGUUAGACCAAAAAAAAAUGAAAAAUUAAAUAAAAAAUAUUUGGGGUGUUCAGGCUUCCUGAAGGUAAUACCCGGGUAUUAGGUUAUGGGGCUAGGGUAAGGUUUGAGGUUUUUGGCAUUAGGGUUAAAAUCACUGUCCAAAACCUUUGUAGGAACUCUUUUCCAACCUUUUGGAGUUAGACCAAAAAAGAAUGAAAAAUGAAAAGAAAAUAUUUGGGUUUUCGGGCUUCCUGAAGGUAAUACCCGGGUAUCAGGUUAUGGGGCUAUGGUAAGGUUUAAGGUUUUUGGCGUUAGGGUUAAAAUCACUGUCCAAAACCUUUGUAGGAACUCUUUUCCAACCUUUUGGAGUCAGUUAGACAAAAAAAAUGAAAAAUGAAAUAAAAAAUAUUUGGGGUGUUCAGGCUUCCUGAAGGUAAUACCCAGGUAUUAGGUUAUGGGGCUAGGGUAAGGUUUUAGGUUUUUGGCAUUAGGGUUAAAAUCACUGUCCAAAACCUUUGUAGAACCCUUUUCCAACCUUUUGGAGUCAGUUAGACAAAAAAAAUGAAAAAUGAAAUAAAAAAUAUUUGGGGUGUUCAGGCUUCCUGAAGGUAAUACCCGGUAUUAGGUUAUGGGGCUAUGGUAAGGUUUAAGGUUUUUGGCGAUAGGGUUAAACUAACUGUCCAAAACCUUUGUAGGAACUCUUUUCCAACCUUAUGGAGUUCGUUAGACCAAAAAAACAAGAAAAAUGAAAAAAAAAUAUUUGGGGUCUUCAGGUAUUAGGUUAUGGGGCUAUGGUAAGGGUUCAGUUUUUUGGCAUUAGGGUUAAAAUUAUUGUCCAAAACCUUUGUAGGAACUCUUUUCCAACCUUUUGGAGUUAGUUAGACCAAAAAAACAUGAAAAAUAAAAAAAAAAAUAUUUGUGGUUUUUGGGCUUCCUGAAGGUAAUACCCGGGUAUUAGGUUAUGGGGCUUUUGAAAGUUUUAGGGUUUUUGGCAUUAGGGUUAAAAUCACUGUCCAAAACCUUUGUAGGAACUCUUUUCAUACCUUUUGGAGUUAGUUAGACCAAAAAAAAUGAAAAAAGGAAAUAAAUAUAUUUGGGGUGUUCGGGCUUCCUGAAGGUAAUACCCGGGUAUUAGGUUAUGGGGCUAUGGUAAGGGUUCAGUUUUUUGGCAUUAGGGUUAAAAUUAUUGUCCAAAACCUUUGUAGGAACUCUUUUCCAACCUUUUGGAGUUAGUUAGACCAAAAAAAAAAGAAAAAUGAAAAAAAAAAUAUUUGGGGUUUUCGGGCUUCCUGAAGGCAAUAACCGGGAAUCAGUUUCUGGGGCUUUGGAAAGGUUUAAGGUUUUUGGCAUUAGGGAUAAAAUCACUGUCCAAAACCUUUGUAGGAACUCUUUACCAAGCUUUUGGAGUUAGUUACACCAAAAAAAAAUGAAAAAUGAAAAAAAAAAUAUUUGGGGUGUUCGGGCUUCCAUAAGGUAAUACCCAGGUAUUAGGUUAUGGGGCUAGGGUAAGGUUUUAGGUUUUUGGCGUUAGGGUUAAAAUCAAUGUCCAAAACCUUUGGAGGAACUCUUUUCCAAGCUUUUGGAGUUAGUUAGACCAAAAAAACAUGAAAAAUAAAAAUAUAUAUAUUUGGGGUGUUCGGGCAUCCUGAAGGUAAUACCCGGGUAUUAGGUUUUGGGGCUAAGGUAAGGUUUAAGGUUUUUGGCGUGAGGGUUAAAAUCGCUGUCUAAAACCUUUGUAGGAACUCUUUUCCAACCUUAUGGAGUCAGUAUGACCAAAAAAAAAAAAAAAAAAAAAAAAAAAUGUAUUUGGGUUGUUCGGGCUUCCUGAAGGUAAUACCCGGAUAUUAGGUUAUGGGGCUUAGGAAAGGUUUAAGGUUUUUGGCGUUAGGGUUAAAAUCACUGUCCAAAACCUUUGUAGGAACUCUUUUCCAACCUUUUUGAGUCAGUUAGACCAAAAUAAAAGAAAAAAGAAAAAAAUAUAUUUGCGGUUUUCAGGCUUCCUGGAGGUAAUACCCGGGUAUUAGGUUAUGGGGCUUAGGAAAGGUUUAAGGUUUUUGGUGAUAGGGUUAAAAUAACUGUCCAAAACCUUUUUAGGAACAUGUUUCAGACCUUUUGGAGUUGGUUAAACCAAAAAAAAAUGUAAAAUGAAAAAAAUAUAUUUGGGGUGUUCAGGCUUCCUGAAGGUAAUACCCGGGUAUGAGGUUAUGGGGCUAUGGUAAGGUUUAAGGUUUUUGACGUUAGGGUGAAAAUAACUGUCCAAAACCUUUGUAGGAACUCUUUUCCAACCUUAUGGAGUUCGUUAGACCAAAAAAAAAAAAAAAAGGAAAAAAAAUAUUUGGGGUGUUCGGGCUUACUGAAGGUAAUACCUGGGUAUUAGGUCUUGGGGCUAGGGUAAGGUUUGAGGUUUUUGGCAUUAGGGUUAAAAUCACUGUCCAAAACCUUUUGAGGAACACGUUUCAGACCUUUUGGAGUUUGUACACCGAAAAAAAAAUGUAAAAUUAAAAAAAAAAAUUUGGGGUGUUCGGGCUUCCUGAAGGUAAUACCCGGGUAUCAGGUUAUGGGGCUAUGGUAAGGUUUAAGGUUUUUGGCGGUACGGUUAAAAUCACUGUCCAAAACCUUUGUAGGAACUCUUUUCCAACCUUUUGGAGUCAGUUAGACCCAAAAAAAAGAGAAAUGAAAAAAAAAUAUUUGGGGUUUUCAGGCUUCCUGGAGGUAAUACCCUAAUAUUAGGUUUUGGGGCUAGGGUAAGGUUUGAGGUUUUUGGCGUUAGGGUUAAAAUCACUGUCCAAAACCUUUUUAGGAACAUGUUUCAGACCUUUUGGAGUUGGUUACAUACAAAAAAAAUGUAAAAUGAAAAAAAAAAUAUUUGGGGUGUUCGGGCUUCCUGAAGGUAAUACCCGGGUAUUAGGUUAUGGGGCUAUGGUAAGGGUUCAGUUUUUUGGCAUUAGGGUUAAAAUCAUUGUCCAAAACCUUUGUAGGAACUCUUUCCAACCUUUUGGAGUUAGUUAGACCAAAAAAAAAAGAAAAAUGAAAAAAAAAUAUUUGGGGUGUUCGGGCUUCCUGAAGGUAAUACCCGGGUAUUAGGUUAUGGGGCUUAGGAAAUGUUUAAGGUUUUUGGCGUUAGGGUUAAAAUCACUGUCCAAAAACCUUUGUAGGAACUCUUUUCCAACCUUUUGGAGUUAGGUUGACCAAAAAAAAAAAAAAAAAAAAAAAAAAAAAAUAUUUGGGGUGUUCGGGCUUCCUGAAGGUAAUACCCGGGUAUUAGGUUUUGGUGCUAGGGUAAGGUUUGAGGUUUUUGGCAUUAGGGUUAAAAUCACUGUCCAAAACCUUUUUAGGAACACCUUUCAGACCUUUUGGAGUUUGUACACCAAAAAAAAAUGUAAAAUGAAAAAAAAAUAUUUGGGGUGUUCGGGCUUCCUGAAGGUAAUACCCGGGUAUCAGGUUAUGGGGCUAUGGUAAGGUUUAAGGUUUUUGGCGUUAGGGUUAAAAUCACUGUCCAAAACCUUUGUAGGAACUCUUUUCCAAACUUUUGGAGUCAGUUAGACCAAAAAAAAAUGAAAAAUGAAAUAAAAAAUAUUUGGGGUGUUCAGGCUUCCUGAAGGUAAUACCCGGGUAUUAGGUUAUGGGGCUUAGGAAAUGUUUAAGGUUUUUGGCGUUAGGGUUAAAAUCACUGUCCAAAAACCUUUGUAGGAACUCUUUUCCAACCUUUUGGAGUUAGGUUGACCAAAAAAAAAAAGAAAAAAGAAAAAAAAAUAUUUGGGGUGUUCGGGCUUCCUGAAGGUAAUACCCGGGUAUUAGGUUUUUGGGCUAGGGUAAGGUUUGAGGUUUUUGGCAUUAGGGUUAAAAUCACUGUCCAAAACCUUUUUAGGAACACGUUUCAGACCUUUUGGAGUUUGUACACCGAAAAAAAAAUGUAAAAUUAAAAAAAAAUAUUUGGGGUGUUCGGGCUUCCUGAAGGUAAUACCCGGGUAUCAGGUUAUGGGGCUAUGGUAAGGUUUAAGGUUUUUGGCGUUACGGUUAAAAUCACUGUCCAAAACCUUUGUAGGAACUCUUUUCCAACCUUUUGGAGUCAGUUAGACCAAAAAAAAGGGAAAUGAAAAAAAUAUUUGGGGUUUUCAGGCUUCCUGGAGGUAAUACCCUAAUAUUAGGUUUUGGGGCUAGGGUAAGGUUUGAGGUUUUUGGCGUUAGGGUUAAAAUCACUGUCCAAAACCUUUUUAGGAACAUGUUUCAGACCUUUUUGAGUUGGUUACAUAUAAAAAAAAAUGUAAAAUGAAAAAAAAAAUAUUUGGGGUGUUCGGGCUUCCUGAAGGUAAUACCCGGGUAUUAGGUUAUGGGGCUAUGGUAAGGGUUCAGUUUUUUAGCAUUAGGGUUAAAAUUAUUGUCCAAAACCUUUGUAGGAACUCUUUUCCAACCUUUUGGAGUUAGUUAGACCAAAAAAAAAAAAAAAAUGAAAAAAAAAUAUUUGGGGUGUUCGGGCUUCCUGAAGGUAAUAGGUUAUGGGGCUAUGGUAAGGUUUAAGGUUUUUGACGUUAGGGUGAAAAUAACUUUCCAAAACCUUUGUAGGAACUCUUUUCCAACCUUAUGGAGUUCGUUAGACCAAAAAAAAAAGAAAAAUGAAAAAAAAAUAUUUGGGGUGUUCGGGCUUCCUGAAGGUAAUACCCGGGUAUUAGGUUAUGGGGCUUAGGAAAUGUUUAAGGUUUUUGGCGUUAGGGUUAAAAUCACUGUCCAAAAACCUUUGUAGGAACUCUUUUCCAACCUUUUGGAGUUAGGUUGACCAAAAAAAAAAGAAAAAUGAAAAAAAAAUAUUUGGGGUGUUCGGGCUUCCUGAAGGUAAUACCCGGGUAUUAGGUUAUGGGGCUAUGGUAAGGUUUAAGGUUUUUGACGUUAGGGUGAAAAUAACUGUCCAAAGCCUUUGUAGGAACUCUUUUCCAACCUUUUGGAGUCAGUUAGACCAAAAAAAAUGAAAAUGAAAUAAAAAAUAUUUGGGGUGUUCAGGCUUCCUGAAGGUAAUACCCGGGUAUUAGGUUAUGGGGCUUAGGAAAUGUUUAAGGUUUUUGGCGUUAGGGUUAAAAUCACUGUCCAAAAACCUUUGUAGGAACUCUUUUCCAACCUGUUGGAGUUAGGUUGACCAAAAAAAAAAAGAAAAAAGAAAAAAAAAUAUUUGGGGUGUUCGGGCUUCCUGAAGGUAAUACCCGGGUAUUAGGUUUUGGGGCUAGGUUAAGGUUUGAGGUUUUUGGCAUUAGGGUUAAAAUCACUGUCCAAAACCUUUUUAGGAACACGUUUCAGACCUUUUGGAGUUUGUACACCGAAAAAAAAAUGUAAAAUUAAAAAAAAAUAUUUGGGGUGUUCGGGCUAAGGUUUAAGGUUUUUGGCGUUACGGUUAAAAUCACUGUCCAAAACCUUUGUAGGAACUCUUUUCCAACCUUUUGGAGUCAGUUAGACCCAAAAAAAAGAGAAAUGAAAAAAAUAUUUGGGGUUUUCAGGCUUCCUGGAGGUAAUACCCUAAUAUUAGGUUUUGGGGCUAGGGUAAGGUUUGAGGUUUUUGGCGUUAGGGUUAAUAUCAAUGUCCAAAACCUUUGUAGGAACAUGUUUCAGACCUUUUGGAGUUGGUUACAUACAAAAAAAAUGUAAAAUGAAAAAAAAUAUAUUUGGGGUGUUCGGGCUUCCUGAAGGUAAUACCCGGGUAUUAGGUUAUGGGGCUAUGGUAAGGGUUCAGUUUUUUGGCAUUAGGGUUAAAAUUAUUGUCCAAAACCUUUGUAGGAACUCUUUUCCAACCUUUUGGAGUUAGUUAGACCAAAAAAAAAAAAAAAUGAAAAAAAAAAAUAUUUGGGGUGUUCGGGCUUCCUGAAGGUAAUACCCGGGUAUUAGGUUAUGGGGCUAUGGUAAGGUUUAAGUUUUUUGACGUUAGGGUGAAAAUAACUUUCCAAAACCUUUGUAGGAACUCUUUUCCAACCUUAUGGAGUUCGUUAGACCAAAAAAAAAGAAAAAUGAAAAAAAAAUAUUUGGGGUGUUCGGGCUUCCUGAAGGUAAUACCCGGGUAUUAGGUUAUGGGGCUUAGGAAAUGUUUAAGGUUUUUGGCGUUAGGGUUAAAAUCACUGUCCAAAAACCUUUGUAGGAACUCUUUUCCAACCUUUUGGAGUUAGGUUGACCAAAAAAAAAAAGAAAAAAGAAAAAAAAAUAUUUGGGGUGUUCGGGCUUCCUGAAGGUAAUACCCGGGUAUUAGGUUUUGGUGCUAGGGUAAGGUUUGAGGUUUUUGGCAUUAGGGUUAAAAUCACUGUCCAAAACCUUUUUAGGAACACCUUUAAGACAUUUUGGAGUUUUACACCAAAAAAAAAAUGUAAAAUGAAAAAAAAAUAUUUGGGGUGUUCGGGCUUCCUGAAGGUAAUACCCGGGUAUCAGGUUAUGGGGCUAUGGUAAGGUUUAAGGUUUUUGGCGUUAGGGUUAAAAUCACUGUCCAAAACCUUUGUAGGAACUCUUUUCCAAACUUUUGGAGUCAGUUAGACCAAAAAAAAAUGAAAAAUGAAAUAAAAAAUAUUUGGGGUGUUCAGGCUUCCUGAAGGUAAUACCCGGGUAUUAGGUUUUGGGGCUAGGGUAAGGUUUGAGGUUUUUGGCAUUAGGGUUAAAAUCACUGUCCAAAACCUUUUUAGGAACAUGUUUCAGACCUUUUGGAGUUGGUUACAUACAAAAAAAAUGUAAAAUGAAAAAAAAAAUAUUUGGGGUGUUCAGGCUUCCUGAAGGUAAUACCCGGGUAUUAGGUUAUGGGGCUAUGGUAAGGGUUCAGUUUUUUGGCAUUAGGGUUAAAAUUAUUGUCCAAAACCUUUGUAGGAACUCUUUUCCAACUUUUUGGAGUUAGUUAGACCAAAAAAAAAAGCAAAAUGAAAAAAAUAUAUUUUGGGUUUUCGGGCUUCCUGAAGGCAAUACCCGGGAAUCAGUUUCUGGGGCUUUGGAAAGGUUUAAGGUUUUUGGCGUUAGGGUUAAAAUCACUGUCCAAAACCUUUGUAGGAACUCUUUUCCAAGCUUUUUGAGUUAGUUAGACCAAAAAAAAUGAAAAAUGAAAUAAAAAAUAUAUUGAUUGCAAAAAUAUAUCAAGGUCCAAAGGUGGUGUGCGCACUUGUCUGUGGUCAUUUACCAUUAUAAUGAAUGGGAGGCGCAGUUUCUACCAAAACACUUGCUGCAGACAAACUUCAUGAUCCAUAUGAAAAAAGUCUGGACCAUGAGUGAGGGCACAAACACAGCUAGUAUAUAUCCAAAUGGCAAGUUGCUCCUCCUUUCGGUUUUGCAGAGAGAGCGGUGUGUUUGAGCCAUUGAGCGAUGGGCAGGAAAAACUUGACUUUUUCUCCUGCCUUGGGGGGGGCGCUCUUUUGGUGAGAAAAAAAUGACUUCACAAAUGUUUUGAUGGCUGAACAUUGCAUCAUCCUAGAAAACUUGGAUGAGUGGCCAAAACUUCUUUGUCUGCUGUAAAAUCAAAUUGGAUUAAUAUUUUUUCCAGAUUUUUUUUUGUACAUCUCUUAUUUUACUUCUGCCCUGUUCAAAACUAGCAAAUGUUUCAUUGAAACUUUGGCGCCACUCAGUGGCCAUAACUACUUUGUCUGCUGUUAAUAGACAACUCCCUUUGGCGCCACUCAGUGGCCAAAACAAUUUGUAAUCAUGUGGAUUUUUGGGUUAUCUUUGGCGCCCCCUAGAACGUAAACCGUGGGGUUCAGCAUCAUGAUUUGUACAACUUUGAAUGGCCAUGGGAUGUAGAUUGGCCUGAGCAAAUUUGGUGUCGGUGGGACAAAAGCCUUAGGAGUUAGCCACAUUCCAAUGUGUGUGAAUCGGCAAAAAAUGCGAAAUAGUCCUUUAACCGUACAUUUUACAGCUAGUGCGCUUUGACUUUUUUGUAGAUCUUAUUGAGAUACACGUGAUUGUCAAAUUUUGUGUCAAUAUGACAAAGCGCACAGGCGUGACACUCAACAAUGUGUAUUUUCACCUUAGGGGACAAGAAAAAAUUGCCUUUUUUCUCCUGCCAUGGGGGGGCGCUCUUUUGGGGAGAAAAAAUUCCUUCAAAAAUGUGUUGAUGGCUGGACAUUGCAUCAUCCUAGAAAACUUGGAGGCCAGUGAGGACAAAAAUAAAAAGUUAUAAGACUUUUAAGAAUGUGGAUUUUUGGGUUAUCUUUGGCGCCCCCUAGAACCUAAACCGUGGGGUGCAGCGUCAUGAUUUGUACAACUUUGAAUGGCCAUGGGGAGUAGAUUGGCCUGAGCAAAUUUGGUGCCGGUGGAACGAAGGCCUUCGGAGGAGUUAGCCACAUUCCAAUGUGUGCGGAUCGGCAAAAAAUGCAAAAUAGCCCUUUAACCGUACAUUUCACUGAUACGCCUACACUGACUUUUUUGUAGACCUUAUUGAGAUACACGUGUGUGUCAAUUUUUGUGUCAAUAUGACAAAGCGUACAGGCGUGACACUCGAUAGUGUGAAUUUUCACCUUAGGGGGCGCUUUGGAGCCAUUUUGCAAAUAAUUUUUUCAGCGACUUCAGAAUAUCGAAUUUUUUACCAGGCCCGGUCGUCCUGCCAAAUUUCAUGAGUUUUCGCCAGUGGGAAGUGGGCCAUUUUCCCCUUCAAAGGGGAGGAAAAAUAAGAAAAAGAAAGAAAGAAAGAAAGACUAGGGCCCCGUUGGGGCACUGGCGGGCCCGAGCCGUGUCGCGCACCCCCCCCCAACGCGAUCGCCUCCCCGUCCCAUUCGCGUCCUCUGGCCAUCGCCCUCUCUGGUAACGCCCAUCACUGCAAAGACCCUUUUACUUCAUCGGCGUUUGCUAUUCUUCCUGCCAUUGCGUGUUGCUUUCACUUACACUUGCCACAGCCAGCCUCAUGAGUGCCUGGCCUGGUUUGACCUUUGCUCACCAUGAUUGUGUGACCUUGGUAUCGGCUACUUGGGAAGUUCCACCGUCGUGGCAAAGCUUUGUUUGCGUGCUGUGCUCAACCACCUAUUUUCUAUGGAUGUGUAAGUAAACCACUUUCUUUUCUAACACAAUGACACACUCAUCUUUUAGGGAGAAAAAUUCCUUCACACAUGUGUUGAUGGCUGGACAUUGAAUCAUCCUAGAAAACUUGGAGGCCAGUGAGGACAAAAAUAAAAAGUUAGAAGACUUUUAAACAUGUGGAUAUUUGGGUCAUCUUUGGCGCCCCCUAGAACGUAAACCGUGGGGUGCAGCAUCAUGAUUUGUACAACUUUGAAUGGCCAUGGGGUGUAGAUUGGCCUGAGCAAAUUUGGUGUCGGUGGGACGAAAGCCUUAGGAGGAGUUAGCCACAUUCCAAUGUGUGCGAAUCGGCAAAAAAUGCGAAAUAGCCCUUUAACCGUACAUUUUACAGAUACAUGCGCAUUGACUUUUUCGUAGAUCUUAUUGAGCUACACAUGAUUGUCAAAUUUUGUGUCAAUAUGACAAAGCGUACAGGCGUGACACUCAACAAUGUGUAUUUUUACCUUAGGGGUAAAGAAAAAAUGGACUUUUUUCUCCUGCCAGGGGGGGGGGGGCGCUUUUUAGGGAGUAAAAAUUCCUUCACACAUGUGUUGAUGGCUGGACAUUGCAUCAUCCUAGAAAACUUGGAGGCCAGUGAGGACAAAAAUAAAAAGUUAUAAGACUUUGAAGAAUGUGGAUUUUUGGGUCAUCUUUGGCGCCCCCUAGAAUGUAAACCGUGGGGUGCAGCGUCAUGAUUUGUACAACUUUGAAUGGCCAUGGGGUAUAGAUUGGCCUGAGCAAAUUUGAUGCCGGUGGAACGAAAGCCUUAGGAGGAGUUAGCAAAAUUCCAAUUUGUCCGGAUCGGCAAAAAAUGCGAAAAAGCCCUUUUAUUGUACAUUUGACAGAUACGCGCGCAUUGAGUUUUUCGUAGAUCUUAUAGAGAUACACGUGAUUGUCAAAUUUUGUGUCAAUAUGACAAAGCGUACAGGCAUGACACUCAACAAUGUGUAUUUUCACCUCAUGGGACAAGAAAAAAUUGACUUUUUUCUCCUGCCAUGGAGGGGCGCUCUUUUGGGGAGAAAAAAUUCCUCCAAAAUUAUGUUGAUGGCUGGACAUUGCAUCAUCCUAGAAAACUUGGAGGCCAGUGAGGACUAAAAUAAAAAGUUAUAAGACUUUUAAGAAUGUGGAUUUUUGGGUUAUUUUUGGCGCCCCCUAGAACCUAAACCGUGGGGUGCAGCGUCAUGAUUUGUACAACUUUGAAUGGCCAUGGGGUGUAGAUUGGCCUGAGCAAAUUUGGUGCCGGUGGAACAAAAGCCUUCGGAGGAGUUAGCGAAAUUCCAAUGUGUGCGGAUCAGCAAAAAAUACAAAAUAGCCCUUUAACCGUACAUUUGACAGAUACGCCCACACUGACUUUUUUGUAGAUCUUAUUGAGAUACACGUGUGUGUCAAUUUUUGUGUCAAUAUGACAAAGCGUACAAACGUGACACUCUAUAGUGUGAAUUUUCACCUUAGGGGGCGCUAUGGAGCCAUUUCGCAUUUUAUUGUUUGGGUGACUUCAGAUUAUCAAAUUUUUCACCAGGCCCGGUCUUCCUGCCAAAUUUCAUGAGUUUUCGACGGUGGGAAGUGGGCCAUUUUCCCCUUCAAAGGGGAGGAAAAAUAAGAAACUAGGGCCCCGUUGGGGCACUGGCGGGCCCGAGCUGUGUCGCCCCCCCAACGCGCUGCCUCCCCAUCCCAUUCGCGUCCUCUGGCCAUCGUCCUCUCUGGUAACGCCCAUCACUGCAAAGACCCUUUUCCUUCAUCGGCGUUUGCUUUUCUUCCUGCCAGUGCGUGUUGCUUUCACUUACACUUGCCACAGCCAGCCUCGUGAGUGCCUAGCCUAUUGGAUAUCACUGUCACCUACACAGGACAGUCAUUACCUUUCUAUUAAUACUUUGUUUUUUAAUUUCACAUUAAUUUCCAUAUCGUAUAAACGACUGGAAAAAACUUGAGCCCCUGCCCCUGUAUAAUCAUGUGCACGUCCCUGUUCUCGCUCCAAGGUGAAUCUUCACUGCUCAUGUUCUCCUCAGAAGCAGUCACCUCACUCCCCUCAGGUUACUGUACACAUGCACCAACUGCCUGCUUCAGGUUUGGAUGGAGCUUCAUGGUUGUCUUUUGGAGAAAUGAGCAGUCAAGUUGUGUUAGAAAUUUGAUUUUUUUCAGGGGCAAAAGGAAGCCUCUGCAUUGUUGUCAAAUAUGUAAAUAGCAUGUUUUUGCAGGUGCUAAAAAACAGACUCUGAGUGUGUGUGUGUGUGUGUGUGUGUGUGUGUGUGUGUGUGUGUGUGUGUGUGUGUGUGUGUGUGUGUGUGUGUGUGUGUGUCUGUGUGUGUGUGUGUCUGUGUGUGUGUUUCCUGCAGUACUCUGUACUCCUGCAGUGGCCAAAACGACUUUUAAGAAUGUGGAUAUUUGGGUCAUCUUUGGCGCCCCCUAGAACGUAAACCAUGGGGUGCAGCGGCAUGAUUUUUACAACUUUGAAUGGCCAUGGGGUGUAGAUUGGCCUGAGCAAAUUUGGUGUCAGUUGGACGAAAGCCUUAGGAGGAGUUAGCCACAUUCCAAUGUGUGCGAAUCGGCAAAAAAUGCAAAAUAGCCCUUUAGCCGUACAUUUUUCAGAUACGCGCCCAUUGACUUUUUCGUAGAUCUUAUUGAGAUACACGUGUGUGUCAAAUUUUUUGUCAAUAUGACAAAGCGUACAGGCGUGAAUCUCAACAAUGUGUAUUUUCACCUUAGGGGACAAGAAAAAAUGGACUUUUUUCUCCUGCCAUGGGGGGGGGGCGCUCUUUUGGGGAGUAAAAAUUCCUUCACAAAUGUGUUGAUGGCUGGACAUUGCAUCAUCCUACAAAACUUGGAGGCCAGUGAGAACAAAAAUAACUAGGGCCCCGUUGGGGCACUGGCGGGCCCGAGCCGUGUCGCCCCCCCCCCCCCCCCCAACGCGCUGCCUCCCCGUCCCAUUCGCGUCCUCUGGCCAUCGCCCUCUCUGGUAACGCCCAUCACUGCAAAGACCCUUUUCCUUCAUCGGCGUUUGCUGUUCUUCCUGCCAGUGCGUGUUGCUUUCACUUACACUUGCCACAGCCAGCCUCGUGAGUGCCUAGCCUAUUGGAUAUCACUGUCACCUACACAGGACAGUCAUACUUUGUUUUUUAAUUUCACAUUAAUUUCCUUAUUGUAUAAACGACUGGAAAAAUCUUGAGCCCCUGCCCCUGUAUUAUCAUGUGCACGUCCCUGUUCUAGCUCCAAGGUGAAUCUUCACUGCUCAUGUUCUCCUCAGAAGCAGUCACCUCACUCCCCUCAGGUUACUGUACACAUGCACCAACUGCCUGCUUCAGGUUUGGAUGGAGCUUCAUGGUUGUCUUUUGGAGAAAUGAGCAGUCAAGUUGUGUUUGAAAUUUGAUUUUUUUCAGGGGCAAAAGGAAGCCUCUGCAUUCUUGUCAAAUAUGUAAAUAGCAUGUUUUUGCAGGUGCUAAAAAACAGACUCUGAGUGUGUGUGUGUGUGUGUGUGUGUGUGUGUGCGUGUGUGUGUGUGUGUGUGUCUGUGUGUGUGUGUGUGUGUGUGUGUAUCCUGCAGUACUCUGAGAAGAAUAAUAAGCAUAUUUCUGAGGUGAAUUUUGAAGAUUCAUCUGAGAGUUAGGUUUGAUUCGAUUCGAUUGACGCUCCCCAGCGUUCAAGUCACAUGACAUAUUUAACCGGAUGUAGCUGCAAGACGGAGCCUCGUUAACUCUCCGUUUCAACUUAUCUCAAAAGUGAGGACCUCAACCUAUAUACCAGUUUUUAAAUUGCGUUGAUAGGCCAAAUAAAACCAGAGUUAUGAUAAAUUAUGUCCGCGAUACUUUUUUUCUGCUUAUUUUGAUCACGUUCGGCGCUCGAUCGCGCUGUAUGAGACAGGAAAACAUAGCAUGCACACAUUAGCGACAGGUCUUACAGGCGGAAAAGGCUUGCUAAAAGAAAAAAAAAACACACCACAACAUCUCUCCUAUUGGUGGAAAACUUCACCACAACAACCAAUCCAAAAUUAUAUGGUGACUGAUUGACAAGGGGCGGGCGCUUACGUUCUUCCUGCAAUAUGAGAAGGGAGGGAGGGACUCUCAGCAGGGAUGCAGUCUGGGACACGUAGUUGCAAACCUAGCGACUUUGUUGUUAGAUUCAAUGACUUUUCAGACCCCCUAACGACUUUUUUAGAAAGAAAGGGACUUUUAUCGACUUCUUCUGGAGUUUAGAGACUCUGACAUGAAGCAGGCUUUCCUUACUGAGGAGUUAGCAACGCUGCUAAGGGUGCAGAGCCACACAUGCGCUCCGAGCUCUGCAUGGGAGACUGAAGCUGACAGAGCUGCAGCAGUUAGCAGGUUUCACCCUCAGAGACCACCAGGGGUUCAUGUUGAGGCAUUUUCAGUUUUUGUUUUUUUUUUGCCAUAGAUUGUCAGCACAAUCUGCAGUUACACUAACAAAAAUGCUGCAAAAAACAAAGAAUUAUGGAAAAAUUACACAUGGACUGACAUAGAGGAGGAUCUACACAAGUUUUUUACAUCAUGUUUUACAUCAUGCAUCAUUUACAUCAUGUUUUUUUGUAGUGGCAUAAAUAAAAAGUGACAUUUGUGAGACUAUACAGUGUUUUGUAAAUAAUUUUACAAAGAACGCCUGGGCCAUUGCCUGCAUUUUGAUGUAAAUAGAGGUAAAUUACUAUGUUCUUUGUUAAAAAUUUGCAUAUGUUUUGAAGUUUACAAUUUUUAUUUGAAGUUUAAGUUUUAAAAACAGUUCAUCACACAUAUUUGUGGUUUAAUUUCACAUUAAUUUCCAUAUUGUAUAAAUGACUUGAGCCCCUGCCCCUGUAUAAUCAUGUGCACGUCCCUGUUCUAGCUCCAAGGUGAAUCUUCACUGCUCAUGUUCUCCUCAGAAAUAGUCACCUCACUCCCCUCAGGUUACUGUACACAUGCACCAACUAUCUGCUUCAGGUUUGGAUGGAGCUUCAUGGUUGUCUUUUGGAGAAAUGAACAGUCAAGUUGUGUUUGAAAUCUGAUUUUUUUCAGGGGCAAAAGGAAGCCUCUGCAUUCUUGUCAAAUAUGUAAACAGCAUGUUUUUGCAGGUGCUAAAAAACAGACUCUGAGUGUGUGUGUGUGUGUGUCUGUGUGUGUGUGUGUGUGUAUAUGUGUGUGUAUCCUGCAGUACUCUGUACUCCUGCAGUGGCCAAAAAGACUUUUAAGAAUGUGGAUUUUUGGGUCAUCUUUGGCGCCCCCUAGAACUGCAGUACUCUGUACUCCUGCAGUGGCCAAAAUGACUUUUAAGAAUGUGGAUUUUUGGGUCAUCUUUGGCGCCCCCUAGAACGUAAACCGUGGGGUGCAGCGUCAUGAUUUUUACAACUUUGAAUGGCCAUGGGGUGUAGAUUGCCCUGAGCAAAUUUGGUAUCGGUGGGACGAAAGCCUUAGGAGGAGAUAGCCACAUUCCAAUGUGUGCGAAUCCGCAAAAAUGCGAAAUAGCCCUUUAACCGUACAUUAUACAGAUACGCGCUUUUUGACUUUUUCGUAGAUCUAAUUGAGAUACACAUGAUUGUCAAUUUUUGUGUCAAUAUGACAAAGCGUUCAGGCGUGACACUCAACAAUGUGUAUUUUCAUGUAAGGGGACAAGAAAAAAUUGACUUUUUUCUCCUGCCAUGGGGGGGCGCUCUUUUGGGGAGUAAAAAUUCCUUCACAAAUGUGUUGAUGGCUGGACAUUGCAUCAUCCUAGAAAACUUGGAGGGCAGUGAGGACAAAAAUAAAAAGUUAUAAGACUUUUAAGAAUGUGGAUUUUGGGUUAUCUUUGGCGCCCCCUAGAACGUAAACCGUGGGGUGCAGCGUCAUGAUUUGUACAACUUUUAAUGGCCAUGGGGGGUAGAUUGGCCUGCGCAAAUGUGGUGCCGGUCGAACGAAAGCCUUCGGAGGAGUUAGCGAAAUUCCAAUGUGUGCAGAUCUGCAAAAAAUGCAAAAUAACCCAUUAACCGUACAUUUGACAGAUACGCCCGCACUGACUUUUUUGUAGAUCUUAUUGAGAUACAUGUGUGUGUCAAUUUUUGUGUCAAUAUGACAAAGCGUACAGCCGUCAUGUGAAUUUUCACCUUAGGGGGCGCUAUGGAGCCAUUUUGCAUUUUAUUGUUUGGGCGACUUCAGAAUAUCGAAUUUUUCACCAGGCCCGGUCGUCCUGCCAAAUUUCCUGAGUUUUCGCCAGUGGGAAGUGGGCCAUUUUCCAGUUUAAAGCGGAGGAAAAAUAAUAACGAAAGAAGGAAACAUGCAGGAACAAGAGGGCUCUCGCAGCUGCUUAGCAGCUACGCUCGGGCCCUAACUAGGGCCCCGUUGGGGCACUGGCGGGCCCGAGCCGUGUCAAGCCGCCCCCAGCACGACCGCCUCCCCCACCCGAUCGCGUCACACUCAAGGUCCAAAGAUGGUGUGCGCACUUGUUUGUGGUCAUUUACCAUUAUAAUGAACGGGAGGCGCAGUUUCUACCAAAACGCUCGCUGCAGAAAAACUCCAUGUCCUAUUUGAAAAAAGUCUGGACCAUGAGUGAGGGCACAAACACAGCUAAGAUAUAUCCAAAUGGCAAGUUGCUCCUCCUUUCGCUUUUGCCGAGAGAGCAGUGCGUUUGAGCCAUUGAAUGAUGAACAGGAAAAACUUGACUUUAUUCUCCUGCCAUGGGGGGGCGCUCUUUUAACGAGAAAAAACUCCUUCACAAAUGUGUUGAUGGCUGGACAUUGCAUCAUCCUAGAAAACAUGGAGGCCAGUGAGGACAAAAAUAAAAAGUUAUAAGACUUUUAAAUAUGUGGAUUUUAGGGUUAUCUUUGGCGCCCCCUAGAACCUAAACCGUGGGGUGCAGCGUCAUGAUUUGAAUAACUUUUAAUGGCCAUGGGGUGUAGAUUGGCCUGAGCAAAUGUGGUGCCGGUGGAACGAAAGCCUUCGGAGGAGUUAGCGAAAUUCCAAUGUGUGCGAAUCGGCAAAAAAUGCAAAAUAACCCUUUAACCGUACAUUUGACAGAUACGUGCGCACUGACUUUUUUGUAGAUCUUAUUGAGAUACAUGUGUGUGUCAAUUUUGGUGUCAUUUUGCCAAAGCGUACAGGUGUUACACUCAACAAUGUGUAUUUUCACCUUAGGGGACAAGAAAAAAUGGACUUUUUUCUCCUGCCAUGGGGGGGCGCUCUUUUGGGGAGUAAAAAUUCCUUCACAAAUGUGUUGAUGGCUGGACAUUGCAUCAUCCUAGAAAACUUGGAGGCCAGUGAGGGCAAAAAUAAAAAGUUAUAAGACUUUUAAAUAUGUGGAUCUUAGGGUUAUCUUUGGCGCCCCCUAGAACCUAAACCGUGGGGUGCAGCGUCAUGAUUUGAAUAACUUUUAAUGGCCAUGGGGUGUAGAUUGGCCUGAGCAAAUGUGGUGCCGGUGGAACGAAAGCCUUCGGAGGAGUUAGCGAAAUUCCAAUGUGUGCGGAUCGGCAAAAAAUGCGAAAUAACCCUUUAACCGUACAUUUGACAGAUACGCCCGCACUGACUUUUUUGUAGAUCUUAUUGAGAUACAUGUGUGUGUCAAUUUUUGUGUCAUUUUGACAAAGCGUACAGGCGUGACAGUCAAUAGUGUGAAUUUUCACCUUAGGGGGCGCUAUGGAGCCAUUUUGCAUUUUCUUGUUUGGGCGACUUCGGAAUAUCAAAUUUUUCACCAGGCCCGGUCGUCCUGCCAAAUUUCCUGAGUUUUCGCCAGUGGGAAGUGGGCCAUUUUCCAGUUCAAAGGGGAGGAAAAAGAAGAAAGAAAGAAAGAAAGAAACAAAGAAAAACCCCUUGGGGAAUAAUAGGGCUCUCGCAGCUGCUUAGCAGCUACGCUCGGGCCCUAAGAAAGAAACAAAGAAGAAUCCAUCAGGAAUAAUAGGGCUCUCGCAGCUGCUUAGGAGCUACGCUCGGGCCCUAAAGAAAGAAGAACCCAUACAGGAAUAAUAGGGCUCUACGCCCGGCUGCUCUGCAGCUGGCUUGGGCCCUAAAGAAUGAAGAAAGAAAAACCCCAUCAAUGACAAGAGGGCCUACGCCCACUAGUGGGCUCGGGCCCUAACUAGGGCCCCGUUGGGGCACUGGCGGGCCCGAGCCCUGUUGCGCCGCCCCCAACGCGAACGCAUCCCCCUCCCGAUCGCAUCACACUCAAGGUCCAAAGAUGGUGUGCGCACCUGUCUGUGGUCAUUUACCAUUAUAAUGAACGGAAGGUGCAGUUUCUAUCAAAACGCUCGCUGCAGACAAACUACAUGUCCUAUUUGAAAAAAGUCUGGACCAUGAGUGAGGGGACAAACACAGCUAGGAUAUAUCCAAAUGGCAAGUUGCUCCUCCUUUCGGUUUUAGCGGGAGAGCAAUACGUUUGAGCCAUUGAGCGAUGGGCAGGAAAAACUUGACUUUUUCUCCUGCCAUGGGGGGUAAGGAAAAUGACCAAUUUUUUUUUAUCAAACAUUAUAAAAACUGGUUAUCUCUUGCAGGGCAUCAAAGUCUUGAAUAUGUGAAAGAUAAGUAAUAUGAUUGACUUUGAUGCCUUUUAACUUUUUCUGUAGCAUCAGAUUUAAUAGAAAGCUCCCUUUGGCGCCCCUCAGUGGCCAUAACUACCUUGUCUGCUGUUAAUAGACAACUCCCUUUGGCGCCACUCAGUGGCCAAAAGUACUUUGUCUGCUGUAAAAUCAAAUUGUAUUCAUAUUUUUUCCAGAUUUUUCUUUUUUACAUCUCUUAUUUUACUUCUGCCCUGUUCAAAACUAGCAAAUGUUUCAUUGAAAAUAUUUUUUUAACCCUUUAAGAGCCCAUUCAAGACAUAAAGUCACUAAUAUAGCAAAAAUUUGAGCCUUUUAGCUUUUUCUGUAGCAUCAGAUUUAAUAAACGAAUCCCUUUGGCGCCUCUCAGUGGCCAUGACUACUUUGUCUGCUGUUAAUAGAAAACUCCCUUUGGCGCCACUCAGUGGCCAAAACUACUUUGUCUGCUGUAAUGUAUAUUUGGGUCAUCUUUGGCGCCCCCUAGAACGUAAACCGUGGGGUGCAGCGUCAUGAUUUUGAACUUUGAAUGGCCAUGGGUUGUAGAUUGGCCUGAGCAAAUUUGGUGUCGGUGGGACGAAAGCCUUAGGAGGAGUUAGCAACAUUCCAAUGUGUGCGAAUCGGCAAAAAAUGCAAAAUAGCCCUUUAACCGUACAUUUCACAGAUACGUGCGCAUUGACUUUUUCGUAGAUCUUAUUGAGAUACACGUGUGUGUCAAAUUUUGUGUCAAUAUGACAAAGUGUAUAGGCGUGACACUCAACAAAGUGUAUUUUCACCUUAGUGGACAAGAAAAAAUGGACUUUUUUCUCCUGCCAUGGGGGGGCGCUCUUUUGGGGAGUAAAAAUUCCUUCACACAUGUGUUGAUGGCUGGACAUUGCAUCAUCCUAGAAAACUUGGAGGCCAGUGAGGACAAAAAUAAAAAGUUAGAAGACUUUUAAACAUGUGGAUAUUUGGGUCAUCUUUGGCGCCCCCUAGAACGUAAACCGUGGGGUGCAGCAUCAUGAUUUGUACAACUUUGAAUGGCCAUGGGGUGUAGAUUGGCCUGAGCAAAUUUGGUGUCGGUGGGACGAAAGCCUUAGGAGGAGUUAGCCACAUUCCAAUGUGUGCGAAUCGGCAAAAAAUGCGAAAUAGCCCUUUAACCGUACAUUUUACAGAUACGUGCGCAUUGACUUUUUCGUAGAUCUUAUUGAGCUACACAUGAUUGUCAAAUUUUGUGUCAAUAUGACAAAGCGUACAGGCGUGACACUUAACAAUGUGUAUUUUCACCUCAUGGGACAAGAAAAAAUUGACUUUUUUCUCCUGCCAUGGAGGGGCGCUCUUUUGGGGAGAAAAAAUUCCUCCAAAAUUAUGUUGAUGGCUGGACAUUGCAUCAUCCUAGAAAACUUGGAGGCCAGUGAGGACUAAAAUAAAAAGUUAUAAGACUUUUAAGAAUGUGGAUUUUUGGGUUAUUUUUGGCGCCCCCUAGAACCUAAACCGUGGGGUGCAGCGUCAUGAUUUGUACAACUUUGAAUGGCCAUGGGGUGUAGAUUGGCCUGAGCAAAUUUGGUGCCGGUGGAACAAAAGCCUUCGGAGGAGUUAGCGAAAUUCCAAUGUGUGCGGAUCAGCAAAAAAUACAAAAUAGCCCUUUAACCGUACAUUUGACAGGUACGCCCACACUGACUUUUUUGUAGAUCUUAUUGAGUUACACGUGUGUGUCAAAUUUUGUGUCAAUAUGACAAAGCGUACAGGCGUGACACUCAACAAUGUGUAUUUUUACCUUAGGGGUAAAGAAAAAAAUUGCCUUUUUUCUCCUGCCAUGGGGGGGGGGGGGGAGGCGCUCUUUUAGGGAGUAAAAAUUCCUUCACACAUGUGUUGAUGGCUGGACAUUGCAUCAUCCUAGAAAACUUGGAGGCCAGUGAGGACAAAAAUAAAAAGUUAUAAGACUUUGAAGAAUGUGGAUUUUUGGGUCAUCUUUGGCACCCCCUAGAAUGUAAACCGUGGGGUGCAGCGUCAUGAUUUGUACAACUUUGAAUGGCCAUGGGGUAUAGAUUGGCCUGAGCAAAUUUGAUGCCGGUGGAACGAAAGCCUUCGGAGGAGUUAGCAAAAUUCCAAUUUGUCCGGAUCGGCAAAAAAUGCGAAAAAGCCCUUUUAUUGUACAUUUGACAGAUACGCGCGCAUUGAGUUUUUCGUAGAUCUUAUAGAGAUACACGUGAUUGUCAAAUUUUGUGUCAAUAUGACAAAGCGUACAGGCAUGACACUCAACAAUGUGUAUUUUCACCUCAUGGGACAAGAAAAAAUUGACUUUUUUCUCCUGCCAUGGAGGGGCGCUCUUUUGGGGAGAAAAAAUUCCUCCAAAAUUAUGUUGAUGGCUGGACAUUGCAUCAUCCUAGAAAACUUGGAGGCCAGUGAGGACUAAAAUAAAAAGUUAUAAGACUUUUAAGAAUGUGGAUUUUUGGGUUAUUUUUGGCGCCCCCUAGAACCUAAACCGUGGGGUGCAGCGUCAUGAUUUGUACAACUUUGAAUGGCCAUGGGGUGUAGAUUGGCCUGAGCAAAUUUGGUGCCGGUGGAACAAAAGCCUUCGGAGGAGUUAGCGAAAUUCCAAUGUGUGCGGAUCAGCAAAAAAUACAAAAUAGCCCUUUAACCGUACAUUUGACAGGUACGCCCACACUGACUUUUUUGUAGAUCUUAUUGAGAUACACGUGUGUGUCAAUUUUUGUGUCAAUAUGACAAAGCGUACAAACGUGACACUCUAUAGUGUGAAUUUUCACCUUAGGGGGCGCUAUGGAGCCAUUUCACAUUUUAUUGUUUGGGUGACUUCAGAUUAUCAAAUUUUUCACCAGGCCCGGUCUUCCUGCCAAAUUUCAUGAGUUUUCGACGGUGGGAAGUGGGCCAUUUUUCCCUUCAAAGGGGAGGAAAAAUAAGAAAGAAAGAAACAAAGAAGAAUCCAUCAGGAAUAAUAGGGCUCUCGCAGCUGCUUAGGAGCUACGCUCGGGCCCUAAAGAAAGAAGAACCCAUACAGGAAUAAUAGGGCUCUACGCCCGGCUGCUCUGCAGCUGGCUUGGGCCCUAAAGAAUGAAGAAAGAAAAACCCCAUCAAUGACAAGAGGGCCUACGCCCACUAGUGGGCUCGGGCCCUAACUAGGGCCCCGUUGGGGCACUGGCGGGCCCGAGCCCUGUUGCGCCGCCCCCAACGCGAACGCAUCCCCCUCCCGAUCGCAUCACACUCAAGGUCCAAAGAUGGUGUGCGCACCUGUCUGUGGUCAUUUACCAUUAUAAUGAACGGAAGGUGCAGUUUCUAUCAAAACGCUCGCUGCAGACAAACUACAUGUCCUAUUUGAAAAAAGUCUGGACCAUGAGUGAGGGGACAAACACAGCUAGGAUAUAUCCAAAUGGCAAGUUGCUCCUCCUUUCGGUUUUAGCGGGAGAGCAAUACGUUUGAGCCAUUGAGCGAUGGGCAGGAAAAACUUGACUUUUUCUCCUGCCAUGGGGGGUAAGGAAAAUGACCAAUUUUUUUUAUCAAACAUUAUAAAAACUGGUUAUCUCUUGCAGGGCAUCAAAGUCUUGAAUAUGUGAAAGAUAAGUAAUAUGAUUGACUUUGAUGCCUUUUAACUUUUUCUGUAGCAUCAGAUUUAAUAGAAAGCUCCCUUUGGCGCCCCUCAGUGGCCAUAACUACCUUGUCUGCUGUUAAUAGACAACUCCCUUUGGCGCCACUCAGUGGCCAAAAGUACUUUGUCUGCUGUAAAAUCAAAUUGUAUUCAUAUUUUUUCCAGAUUUUUCUUUUUUACAUCUCUUAUUUUACUUCUGCCCUGUUCAAAACUAGCAAAUGUUUCAUUGAAAAUAUUUUUUUAACCCUUUAAGAGCCCAUUCAAGACAUAAAGUCACUAAUAUAGCAAAAAUUUGAGCCUUUUAGCUUUUUCUGUAGCAUCAGAUUUAAUAAACAAAUCCCUUUGGCGCCUCUCAGUGGCCAUGACUACUUUGUCUGCUGUUAAUAGAAAACUCCCUUUGGCGCCACUCAGUGGCCAAAACUACUUUGUCUGCUGUAAUGUAUAUUUGGGUCAUCUUUGGCGCCCCCUAGAACGUAAACCGUGGGGUGCAGCGUCAUGAUUUUGAACUUUGAAUGGCCAUGGGUUGUAGAUUGGCCUGAGCAAAUUUGGUGUCGGUGGGACGAAAGCCUUAGGAGGAGUUAGCAACAUUCCAAUGUGUGCGAAUCGGCAAAAAAUGCAAAAUAGCCCUUUAACCGUACAUUUCACAGAUACGUGCGCAUUGACUUUUUCGUAGAUCUUAUUGAGAUACACGUGUGUGUCAAAUUUUGUGUCAAUAUGACAAAGUGUAUAGGCGUGACACUCAACAAAGUGUAUUUUCACCUUAGUGGACAAGAAAAAAUGGACUUUUUUCUCCUGCCAUGGGGGGGCGCUCUUUUGGGGAGUAAAAAUUCCUUCACACAUGUGUUGAUGGCUGGACAUUGCAUCAUCCUAGAAAACUUGGAGGCCAGUGAGGACAAAAAUAAAAAGUUAGAAGACUUUUAAACAUGUGGAUAUUUGGGUCAUCUUUGGCGCCCCCUAGAACGUAAACCGUGGGGUGCAGCAUCAUGAUUUGUACAACUUUGAAUGGCCAUGGGGUGUAGAUUGGCCUGAGCAAAUUUGGUGUCGGUGGGACGAAAGCCUUAGGAGGAGUUAGCCACAUUCCAAUGUGUGCGAAUCGGCAAAAAAUGCGAAAUAGCCCUUUAACCGUACAUUUUACAGAUACGUGCGCAUUGACUUUUUCGUAGAUCUUAUUGAGCUACACAUGAUUGUCAAAUUUUGUGUCAAUAUGACAAAGCGUACAGGCGUGACACUUAACAAUGUGUAUUUUCACCUCAUGGGACAAGAAAAAAUUGACUUUUUUCUCCUGCCAUGGAGGGGCGCUCUUUUGGGGAGAAAAAAUUCCUCCAAAAUUAUGUUGAUGGCUGGACAUUGCAUCAUCCUAGAAAACUUGGAGGCCAGUGAGGACUAAAAUAAAAAGUUAUAAGACUUUUAAGACUGUGGAUUUUUGGGUUAUUUUUGGCGCCCCCUAGAACCUAAACCGUGGGGUGCAGCGUCAUGAUUUGUACAACUUUGAAUGGCCAUGGGGUGUAGAUUGGCCUGAGCAAAUUUGGUGCCGGUGGAACAAAAGCCUUCGGAGGAGUUAGCGAAAUUCCAAUGUGUGCGGAUCAGCAAAAAAUACAAAAUAGCCCUUUAACCGUACAUUUGACAGGUACGCCUACACUGACUUUUUUGUAGAUCUUAUUGAGUUACACGUGUGUGUCAAAUUUUGUGUCAAUAUGACAAAGCGUACAGGCGUGACACUCAACAAUGUGUAUUUUUACCUUAGGGGUAAAGAAAAAAUGGACUUUUUUCUCCUGCCAUGGGGGGGGGGGGGGGGGGGGGCGCUCUUUUAGGGAGUAAAAUUUCCUUCCAACAUGUGUUGAUGGCUGGACAUUGCAUCAUCCUAGAAAACUUGGAGGCCAGUGAGGACAAAAAUAAAAAGUUAUAAGACUUUGAAGAAUGUGGAUUUUUGGGUCAUCUUUGCGUACAAACGUGACACUCUAUAGUGUGAAUUUUCACCUUAGGGGGCGCUAUGGAGCCAUUUCGCAUUUUAUUGUUUGGGUGACUUCAGAUUAUCAAAUUUUUCACCAGGCCCGGUCUUCCUGCCAAAUUUCAUGAGUUUUCGACGGUGGGAAGUGGGCCAUUUUUCCCUUCAAAGGGGAGGAAAAAUAAGAAAGAAAGAAACAAAGAAGAAUCCAUCAGGAAUAAUAGGGCUCUCGCAGCUGCUUAGGAGCUACGCUCGGGCCCUAAAGAAAGAAGAACCCAUACAGGAAUAAUAGGGCUCUACGCCCGGCUGCUCUGCAGCUGGCUUGGGCCCUAAAGAAUGAAGAAAGAAAAACCCCAUCAAUGACAAGAGGGCCUACGCCCACUAGUGGGCUCGGGCCCUAACUAGGGCCCCGUUGGGGCACUGGCGGGCCCGAGCCCUGUUGCGCCGCCCCCAACGCGAACGCAUCCCCCUCCCGAUCGCAUCACACUCAAGGUCCAAAGAUGGUGUGCGCACCUGUCUGUGGUCAUUUACCAUUAUAAUGAACGGAAGGUGCAGUUUCUAUCAAAACGCUCGCUGCAGACAAACUACAUGUCCUAUUUGAAAAAAGUCUGGACCAUGAGUGAGGGGACAAACACAGCUAGGAUAUAUCCAAAUGGCAAGUUGCUCCUCCUUUCGGUUUUAGCGGGAGAGCAAUACGUUUGAGCCAUUGAGCGUUAGAAGACUUUUAAACAUGUGGAUUUUUGGGUCAUCUUUGGCACCCCCUAGAAUGUAAACCGUGGGGUGCAGCGUCAUGAUUUGUACAACUUUGAAUGGCCAUGGGGUAUAGAUUGGCCUGAGCAAAUUUGAUGCCGGUGGAACGAAAGCCUUCGGAGGAGUUAGCAAAAUUCCAAUUUGUCCGGAUCGGCAAAAAAUGCGAAAAAGCCCUUUUAUUGUACAUUUGACAGAUACGCGCGCAUUGAGUUUUUCGUAGAUCUUAUAGAGAUACACGUGAUUGUCAAAUUUUGUGUCAAUAUGACAAAGCGUACAGGCAUGACACUCAACAAUGUGUAUUUUCACCUCAUGGGACAAGAAAAAAUUGACUUUUUUCUCCUGCCAUGGAGGGGCGCUCUUUUGGGGAGAAAAAAUUCCUCCAAAAUUAUGUUGAUGGCUGGACAUUGCAUCAUCCUAGAAAACUUGGAGGCCAGUGAGGACUAAAAUAAAAAGUUAUAAGACUUUUAAGAAUGUGGAUUUUUGGGUUAUUUUUGGCGCCCCCUAGAACCUAAACCGUGGGGUGCAGCGUCAUGAUUUGUACAACUUUGAAUGGCCAUGGGGUGUAGAUUGGCCUGAGCAAAUUUGGUGCCGGUGGAACAAAAGCCUUCGGAGGAGUUAGCGAAAUUCCAAUGUGUGCGGAUCAGCAAAAAAUACAAAAUAGCCCUUUAACCGUACAUUUGACAGGUACGCCCACACUGACUUUUUUGUAGAUCUUAUUGAGAUACACGUGUGUGUCAAUUUUUGUGUCAAUAUGACAAAGCGUACAAACGUGACACUCUAUAGUGUGAAUUUUCACCUUAGGGGGCGCUAUGGAGCCAUUUCGCAUUUUAUUGUUUGGGUGACUUCAGAUUAUCAAAUUUUUCACCAGGCCCGGUCUUCCUGCCAAAUUUCAUGAGUUUUCGACGGUGGGAAGUGGGCCAUUUUUCCCUUCAAAGGGGAGGAAAAAUAAGAAAGAAAGAAACAAAGAAGAAUCCAUCAGGAAUAAUAGGGCUCUCGCAGCUGCUUAGGAGCUACGCUCGGGCCCUAAAGAAAGAAGAACCCAUACAGGAAUAAUAGGGCUCUACGCCCGGCUGCUCUGCAGCUGGCUUGGGCCCUAAAGAAUGAAGAAAGAAAAACCCCAUCAAUGACAAGAGGGCCUACGCCCACUAGUGGGCUCGGGCCCUAACUAGGGCCCCGUUGGGGCACUGGCGGGCCCGAGCCCUGUUGCGCCGCCCCCAACGCGAACGCAUCCCCCUCCCGAUCGCAUCACACUCAAGGUCCAAAGAUGGUGUGCGCACCUGUCUGUGGUCAUUUACCAUUAUAAUGAACGGAAGGUGCAGUUUCUAUCAAAACGCUCGCUGCAGACAAACUACAUGUCCUAUUUGAAAAAAGUCUGGACCAUGAGUGAGGGGACAAACACAGCUAGGAUAUAUCCAAAUGGCAAGUUGCUCCUCCUCUCGGUUUUAGCGGGAGAGCAAUACGUUUGAGCCAUUGAGCGAUGGGCAGGAAAAACUUGACUUUUUCUCCUGCCAUGGGGGGUAAGGAAAAUGACCAAUUUUUUUUUAUCAAACAUUAUAAAAACUGGUUAUCUCUUGCAGGGCAUCAAAGUCUUGAAUAUGUGAAAGAUAAGUAAUAUGAUUGACUUUGAUGCCUUUUAACUUUUUCUGUAGCAUCAGAUUUAAUAGAAAGCUCCCUUUGGCGCCCCUCAGUGGCCAUAACUACCUUGUCUGCUGUUAAUAGACAACUCCCUUUGGCGCCACUCAGUGGCCAAAAGUACUUUGUCUGCUGUAAAAUCAAAUUGUAUUCAUAUUUUUUCCAGAUUUUUCUUUUUUACAUCUCUUAUUUUACUUCUGCCCUGUUCAAAACUAGCAAAUGUUUCAUUGAAAAUAUUUUUUUAACCCUUUAAGAGCCCAUUCAAGACAUAAAGUCACUAAUAUAGCAAAAAUUUGAGCCUUUUAGCUUUUUCUGUAGCAUCAGAUUUAAUAAACAAAUCCCUUUGGCGCCUCUCAGUGGCCAUGACUACUUUGUCUGCUGUAAUGUAUAUUUGGGUCAUCUUUGGCGCCCCCUAGAACGUAAACCGUGGGGUGCAGCGUCAUGAUUUUGAACUUUGAAUGGCCAUGGGUUGUAGAUUGGCCUGAGCAAAUUUGGUGUCGGUGGGACGAAAGCCUUAGGAGGAGUUAGCAACAUUCCAAUGUGUGCGAAUCGGCAAAAAAUGCAAAAUAGCCCUUUAACCGUACAUUUCACAGAUACGUGCGCAUUGACUUUUUCGUAGAUCUUAUUGAGAUACACGUGUGUGUCAAAUUUUGUGUCAAUAUGACAAAGUGUAUAGGCGUGACACUCAACAAUGUGUAUUUUCACCUUAGUGGACAAGAAAAAAUGGACUUUUUUCUCCUGCCAUGGGGGGGCGCUCUUUUGGGGAGUAAAAAUUCCUUCACACAUGUGUUGAUGGCUGGACAUUGCAUCAUCCUAGAAAACUUGGAGGCCAGUGAGGACAAAAAUAAAAAGUUAGAAGACUUUUAAACAUGUGGAUAUUUGGGUCAUCUUUGGCGCCCCCUAGAACGUAAACCGUGGGGUGCAGCAUCAUGAUUUGUACAACUUUGAAUGGCCAUGGGGUGUAGAUUGGCCUGAGCAAAUUUGGUGUCGGUGGGACGAAAGCCUUAGGAGGAGUUAGCCACAUUCCAAUGUGUGCGAAUCGGCAAAAAAUGCGAAAUAGCCCUUUAACCGUACAUUUUACAGAUACGUGCGCAUUGACUUUUUCGUAGAUCUUAUUGAGCUACACAUGAUUGUCAGAUUUUGUGUCAAUAUGACAAAGCGUACAGGCGUGACACUCAACAAUGUGUAUUUUUACCUUAGGGGUAAAGAAAAAAUGGACUUUUUUCUCCUGCCAUGGGGGGGGGGGCGCUCUUUUAGGGAGUAAAAAUUCCUUCACACAUGUGUUGAUGGCUGGACAUUGCAUCAUCCUAGAAAACUUGGAGGCCAGUGAGGACAAGAAUAAAAAGUUAUAAGACUUUGAAGAAUGUGGAUUUUUGGGUCAUCUUUGGCACCCCCUAGAAUGUAAACCGUGGGGUGCAGCGUCAUGAUUUGUACAACUUUGAAUGGCCAUGGGGUAUAGAUUGGCCUGAGCAAAUUUAAUGCCGGUGGAACGAAAGCCUUCGGAGGAGUUAGCAAAAUUCCAAUUUGUCCGGAUCGGCAAAAAAUGCGAAAAAGCCCUUUUAUUGUACAUUUGACAGAUACGCGCGCAUUGAGUUUUUCGUAGAUCUUAUAGAGAUACACGUGAUUGUCAAAUUUUGUGUCAAUAUGACAAAGCGUACAGGCAUGACACUCAACAAUGUGUAUUUUCACCUCAUGGGACAAGAAAAAAUUGACUUUUUUCUCCUGCCAUGGAGGGGCGCUCUUUUGGGGAGAAAAAAUUCCUCCAAAAUUAUGUUGAUGGCUGGACAUUGCAUCAUCCUAGAAAACUUGGAGGCCAGUGAGGACUAAAAUAAAAAGUUAUAAGACUUUUAAGAAUGUGGAUUUUUGGGUUAUUUUUGGCGCCCCCUAGAACCUAAACCGUGGGGUGCAGCGUCAUGAUUUGUACAACUUUGAAUGGCCAUGGGGUGUAGAUUGGCCUGAGCAAAUUUGGUGCCGGUGGAACAAAAGCCUUCGGAGGAGUUAGCGAAAUUCCAAUGUGUGCGGAUCAGCAAAAAAUACAAACUAGGACCCCGUUGGGGCACUGGCGGGCCCGAGCCGUGUCGCGUCCCCCCCCCAACGUGCUGCCUCCCUGUCCCAUUUGUGUCCUCUGGCCAUCGCCCUCUCUGUUAACGCCCAUCACUGCAAAGACCCUUUUCCUUCAUCGGCGUUUGCUGUUCUUCCUGCCAGUGCGUGUUGCUUUCACUUACACUUGCCACAGCCAGCCUCGUGAGUGCCUAGCCUAUUGGAUAUCACUGUCACCUACACAGGACAGUCAUUACCUUUCUAUUAAUACUUUGUGUUUUAAUUUCACAUUAAUUUCCAUAUUGUAUAAACGACUGGAAAAAACUUGAGCCCCUGCCCCUGUAUAAUCAUGUGCAUGUCUCUGUUCUAGCUCCAAGGUGAAUCUUCACUGCUCAUGUUCUCCUCAGAAGCACUCACCUCACUCCCCUCAGGUUACUGUACACAUGCACCAACUGCCUGCUUCAGGUUUGGAUGGAGCUUCAUGGUUGUCUUUUGGAGAAAUGACCAGUCAAGUUGUGUUUGAAAUUUGAUUUUUUUCAGGGGCAAAAGGAGCCUCUGCAUUCUUGUCAAAUAUGUAAAUAGCAUGUUUUUUACAGGUGCUUAAAACCAGACUCUGAGUGUGUGUGUGUGUGUGUGUGUGUGCGUGUGCGUGUGUCUAUGUGUGCGUUCAAGUCACAUGACAUAUUUAACCGGAUGUAGCUGCAAGACGGAGCCUCGUUGACUCUCCGUUUCAACUUAUCUCAAAAGUGAGGACCUCAACCUAUAUACCAGUUUUUAAAUUGUGUUGAUAGGCCAAAUAAAACCAGAGUUAUGAUAAAUUAUGUCCGCGAUACUUUUUUUCUGCUUAUUUUGAUCACGUUCGGCGCUCGAUCGCGCUGUAUGAGACAGGAAAACAUAGCAUGCAGACAUUAGUGACAGGUCUUACAGGCGGAAAAGGCUUGCCAAAAGAAAAAAAAAACACACCACAACAUCUCUCCUAUUGGUGGAAAACUUCACCACAACAACCAAUCCAAAAUUAUAUGGUGACUGAUUGACAAGGGGCGGGCGCUUACGUUCUUCCUGCAACAUGAGAAGGGAGGGAGGGACUCUCAGCAGGGAUGCAGUCUGGGACACGUAGUUGCAAACCUAGCGACUUUGUUGUUAGAUUCAAUGACUUUUCAGACACCCUAACGACUUUUUUUUAGAAAGAAAGGGACUUUUAUCGACUUCUUCUGGAGUUUAGAGACUCUGACAUGAAGCAGGCUUUCCUUACUGAGGAGUUAGCAACGCGGCUAAGGGUGCAGAGCCACACAUGCGCUCAGAGCUCUGCAUGGGAGACUGAAGCUGACAGAGCUGCAGCAGUUAGCAGGUUUCACCCUCAGAGACCACCAGGGGUUCAUGUUGAGGCAUUUUAAUUUUUUUUUUUUUGUGCCAUAGACACUGUCAGCACAAUCUGCAGUUACACUAACAAAAAUGCUGCAAAAAACAAAGAAUUAUGGAAAAAUUACACAUGGACUGACAUAGAGGAGGAUCUACACAAGUUUUUUACAUCAUGUUUUACAUCAUGCAUCAUUUACAUCAUGUUUUUUUGUAGUGGCAUAAAUAAAAAGUGACAUUUGUGAGACUAUACAGUGUUUUGUAAAUAAUUUUACAAAGAACGCCUGGGCCGUUGCCUGCAUUUUGAUGUAAAUAGAGGUAAAUUACUAUGUUCUUUGUUAAAAAUUUGCAUAUGUUUUGAAGUUUACAAUUUUUAUUUGAAGUUUAAGUUUUAAAAACAGUUCAUCACACAUAUUUGUGGUUUAAUUUCACAUUAAUUUCCAUAUUGUAUAAAUGACUGGAAAAAACUUGAGCCCCUGCCCCUGUAUAAUCAUGUGCACGUCCCUGUUCUAGCUCCAAGGUGAAUCUUCACUGCUCAUGUUCUCCUCAGAAAUAGUCACCUCACUCCCCUCAGGUUACUGUACACAUGCACCAACUAUCUGCUUCAGGUUUGAAAUGGAGCUUCAUGGUUGUCUUUUGGAGAAAUGAACAGUCAAGUUGUGUUUGAAAUUAGAUUUUUUUCAGGGGCAAAAGGAAGCCUCUGCAUUCUUGUCAAAUAUGUAAACAGCAUGUUUUUGCAGGUGCUAAAAAACAGACUCUGAGUGUGUGUGUGUGUCUGUGUGUGUGUGUGUGUGUGUGUGUGUGUGUGUGUGUGUGUGUGUGUGUGUGUGUAUGUUGGCGUGUGUGUAUAUGUGUGUGUAUCCUGCAGUACUCUGUACUCCUGCAGUGGCCAAAAAGACUUUUAAGAAUGUGGAUUUUUGGGUCAUCUUUGGCGCCCCCUAGAACUGCAGUACUCUGUACUCCUGCAGUGGCCAAAAUGACUUUUAAGAAUGUGGAUUUUUGGGUCAUUUUUGGCGCCCCCUAGAACGUAAACCGUGGGGUGCAGCGUCAUGAUUUUUACAACUUUGAAUGGGCAUGGGGUGUAGAUUGCCUUGAGCAAAUUUCGUAUCGGUGGGACGAAAGCCUUAGGAGGAGAUAGCCACAUUCCAAUGUGUGCGAAUCGGCAAAAAAUGCAAAAUAGCCCUUUAACCGUACAUUAUACAGAUACGCGCUCUUUGACUUUUUCGUAGAUCUAAUUGAGAUACACAUGAUUGUCAAUUUUUGUGUCAAUAUGACAAAGCGUUCAGGCGUGACACUCAACAAUGUGUAUUUUUAUAUAAGGGGACAAGAAAAAAUUGACUUUUUUCGCCUACCAUGGGGGGGCGCUCUUUUGGGGAGUAAAAAUUCCUUCACAAAUGUGUUGAUGGCUGGACAUUGCAUCAUCCUAGAAAACUUGGAGGCCAGUGAGGACAAAAAUAAAAAGUUAUAAAACAUUUAAGAAUGUGGAUUUUUGGGUUAUUUUUGGCGCCCCCUAGAACCUAAACCAUGGGGUGCAGCAUCAUGAUUUGAAUAACUUUUAAUGGCCAUGGGGUGUAGAUUGGCCUGAGCAAAUGUGGUGCCGGUGGAACGAAAGCCUUCGGAGGAGUUAGCGAAAUUCCAAUGUGUGCGUAUCGGCAAAAAAUGCGGAAUAACCCUUUAACUGUACAUUUGACAGAUACGUGCGCAUUGACUUUUUUGUAGAUCUUAUUGAGUUACAUGUGUGUGUCAAUUUUUGUGUCAUUUUGACAAAGCGUAUAGGCGUGACACUCAACAAUGUGUAUUUUCACCUUAGGGGACAAGAAAAAAUGGACUUUUUUCUCCUGCCAUGGGGGGGCGCUCUUUUGGGGAGUAAAAAUUCCUUCACAAAUGUGUUGAUGGCUGGACAUUGCAUCAUCCUAGAAAACUUGGAGGCCAGUGAGGACAAAAAUAAAAAGUUAUAAGACUUUUAAAUAUGUGGAUUUUAGUGUUAUCUUUGGCGCCCCCUAGAACCUAAACCUUGGGGUGCAGAGUCAUGAUUUUGAUAACUUUUAAUGGCCACGGGGUGUAGAUUGGCCUGAGCAAAUGUGGUGCCGAUGGAACGAAAGCCUUCGGAGGAGUUAGCGAAAUUCCAAUGUGUGCGGAUCGGCAAAAAAUGCGAAAUAACCCUUUAACCGUAAUUUUGACAGAUACGGCCGCACUGACUUUUUUGUAGAUCUUAUUGAGAUACAUAUGUGUGUCAAUUUUUGUGUCAAUAUGACAAAGCGUACAGGCGUGACAGUCAAUAGUGUGAAUUUCCACCUUAGGGGGCGCUAUGGAGCCAUUUUGCAUUUUAUUGUUUGGGUGACUUCAGAAUAUCGAAUUUUUCACCAGGCCCGGUCGUCCUGCCAAAUUUCAUGAGUUUUCGCCAGUGGGAAGUGGGCCAUUUUCCAGUUCAAAGGGGAGGAAAAAGAAGAAAGAAAGAAAGAAAGAAAGAAAGAAACAAAGAAAAACCACUUGGGGAAUAAUAGGGCCUACGCCCGGCUGCUCUGCAGCUGGCUCGGGCCCUAACUAGGACCCCGUUGGGGCACUGGCGGGCCCGAGCCGUGUCGCGUCCCCCCCCCAACGUGCUGCCUCCCCGUCCCAUUUGUGUCCUCUGGCCAUCGCCCUCUCUGGUAACGCCCAUCACUGCAAAGACCCUUUUCCUUCAUCGGCGUUUGCUGUUCUUCCUGCCAGUGCGUGUUGCUUUCACUUACACUUGCCACAGCCAGCCUCGUGAGUGCCUAGCCUAUUCGAUAUCACUGUCACCUACACAGGACAGUCAUUACCUUUCUAUUAAUACUUUGUGUUUUAAUUUCACAUUAAUUUCCAUAUUGUAUAAACGACUGGAAAAAACUUGAGCCCCUGCCCCUGUAUAAUCAUGUGCAUGUCUCUGUUCUAGCUCCAAGGUGAAUCUUCACUGCUCAUGUUCUCCUCAGAAGCACUCACCUCACUCCCCUCAGGUUACUGUACACAUGCACCAACUGCCUGCUUCAGGUUUGGAUGGAGCUUCAUGGUUUUUUUUGGAGAAAUGACCAGUCAAGUUGUGUUUGAAAUUUGAUUUUUUUCAGGGGCAAAAGGAGCCUCUGCAUUCUUGUCAAAUAUGUAAAUAGCAUGUUUUUGCAGGUGCUAAAAGCCAGACUCUGAGUGUGUGUGUGUGUGUGUGUGUGUGUGUGUGUGUGUGUGUGUGUGUGUGUGUGUGUGUGCGUGUGUGUGUGUCUGUGUGUGCGUUCAAGUCACAUGACAUAUUUAAUCGGAUGUAGCUGCAAGACGGAGCCUCGUUGACUCUCCGUUUCAACUUAUCUCAAAAGUGAGGACCUCAACCUAUAUACCAGUUUUUAAAUUGUGUUGAUAGGCCAAAUAAAACCAGAGUUAUGAUAAAUUAUGUCCGCGAUACUUUUUUUCUGCUUAUUUUGAUCACGUUCGGCGCUCGAUCGCGCUGUAUGAGACAGGAAAACAUAGCAUGCAGACAUUAGCGACAGGUCUUACAGGCGGAAAAGGCUUGCCAAAAGAAAAAAAAAACACACCACAACAUCUCUCCUAUUGGUGGAAAACUUCACCACAACAACCAAUCCAAAAUUAUAUGGUGACUGAUUGACAAGGGGCGGGCGCUUACGUUCUUCCUGCAACAUGAGAAGGGAGGGAGGGACUCUCAGCAGGGAUGCAGUCUGGGACACGUAGUUGCAAACCUAGCGACUUUGUUGUUAGAUUCAAUGACUUUUCAGACCCCCUAACGACUUUUUUUUAGAAAGAAAGGGACUUUUAUCGACUUCUUCUGGAGUUUAGAGACUCUGACAUGAAGCAGGCUUUCCUUACUGAGGAGUUAGCAACGCUGCUAAGGGUGCAGAGCCACACAUGCGCUCAGAGCUCUGCAUGGGAGACUGAAGCUGACAGAGCUGCAGCAGUUAGCAGGUUUCACCCUCAGAGACCACCAGGGGUUCAUGUUGAGGCAUUUUAAUUUUUUUUUUUUUGUGCCAUAGACACUGUCAGCACAAUCUGCAGUUACACUAACAAAAAUGCUGCAAAAAACAAAGAAUUAUGGAAAAAUUACACAUGGACUGACAUAGAGGAGGAUCUACACAAGUUUUUUACAUCAUGUUUUACAUCAUGCAUCAUUUACAUCAUGUUUUUUUGUAGUGGCAUAAAUAAAAAGUGACAUUUGUGAGACUAUACAGUGUUUUGUAAAUAAUUUUACAAAGAACGCCUGGGCCAUUGCCUGCAUUUUGAUGUAAAUAGAGGUAAAUCACUAUGUUCUUUGUUAAAAAUUUGCAUAUGUUUUGAAGUUUACAAUUUUUAUUUGAAGUUUAAGUUUUAAAAACAGUUCAUCACACAUAUUUGUGGUUUUCACAGUAAAAAUGUUACUUUUUUCCACUCGGAUUUUAUGUUUUGUGUGUGAAUUUGGGUCCAUUGUGUAAAUUCAGUAUGUCAACAUGAUAAAAUAACUGUAAAUUCGCACAGGUGAGGUUGUGCUGAAAAAAAUGAUACCAGGCAAGGCACGUGAUUGUCAAAUUUUGUGUCAAUAUGACAAAGCGUAUAGGCGUGAAUCUCAACAAUAUGUAUUUUCACCUUAAGGGACAAGGAAAAAUGGACUUUUUUCUCCUGCCAUGGGGGGGCGCUCUUUUGGGAAAUAAAAAUUCCUUCACAAAUGUGUUGAUGGCUGGACAUUGCAUCAUCCUAGAAAACUUGGAGGCCAGUGAGGACAAAAAUAAAAAGUUAUAAGACUUUUAAAUAUGUGGAUUUUAGGGUUAUCUUUGGCGCCCCCUAGAACCUAAACCGUGGGGUGCAGCGUCAUGAUUUUGAUAACUUUUAAUGGCCAUGGGGUGUAGAUUGGCCUGAGCAAAUGUGGUGCCGGUGGAACGAAAGCCUUAGGAGGAGUUAGCCACAUUCCAAUGUGUGCGGAUCGGCAAAAAAUGCGGAAUAACCCUUUAACCGCACAUUUGACAGAUACGCGCGCAUUGACUUUUUCGUAGAUCUUAUUGAGUUACAUGUGUGUGUCAAUUUUUGUGUCAUUUUGACAAAGUGUAUAGGCGUGACACUCAACAAUGUGUAUUUUCACCUUAGGGGACAAGAAAAAAUGGACUUUUUUCUCCUGCCAUGGGGGGGCGCUCUUUUGGGAAGUAAAAAUUCCUUCACAAAUGUGUUGAUGGCUGGACAUUGCACCAUCCUAGAAAACUUGGAGGCCAGUGAGGACAAAAAUAAAAAGUUAUAAGACUUUUAAAUAUGUGGAUUUUAGUGUUAUCUUUGGCGCCCCCUAGAACCUAAACCUUGGGGUGCAGCGUCAUGAUUUUGAUAACUUUUAAUGGCCACGGGGUGUAGAUUGGCCUGAGCAAAUGUGGUGCCGGUGGAACGAAAGCCUUCGGAGGAGUUAGCGAAAUUCCAAUGUGUGCGGAUCGGCAAAAAAUGCGGAAUAACCCUUUAACCGUAAUUUUGACAGAUACGGCCGCACUGACUUUUUUGUAGAUCUUAUUGAGAUACAUAUGUGUGUCAAUUUUUGUGUCAAUAUGACAAAGCGUACAGGCGUGACAGUCAAUAGUGUGAAUUUCCACCUUAGGGGGCGCUAUGGAGCCAUUUUGCAUUUUAUUGUUUUGGCGACUUCAGAAUAUCAAAUUUUUCACCAGGCCCGGUCGUCCUGCCAAAUUUCAUGAGUUUUCGCCAGUGGGAAGUGGGCCAUUUUCCAGUUCAAAGGGGAGGAAAAAGAAACUAGGGCCCCGUUGGGGCACUGGCGGGCCCGAGCUGUGUCGCCCCCCCCCCCCCCAACGCGCUGCCUCCCCGUCCCAUUCGCGUCCUCUGGCCAUCGUCCUCUCUGGUAACGCCCAUCACUGCAAAGACCCUUUUCCUUCAUCGGCGUUUGCUGUUCUUCCUGCCAGUGCGUGUUGCUUUCACUUACACUUGCCACAGCCAGCCUUGUGAGUGCCUAGCCUAUUGGAUAUCACUGUCACCUACACAGGACAGUCAUUACCUUUCUAUUAAUACUUUGUUUUUUAAUUUCACAUUAAUUUCCAUAUUGUAUAAACGACUGGAAAAAACUUGAGCCCCUGCCCCCGUAUAAUCAUGUGCACGUCCCUGUUCUCGCUCCAAGGUGAAUCUUCACUGCUCAUGUUCUCCUCAGAAGCAGUCACCUCACUCCCCUCAGGUUACUGUACACAUGCACCAACUGCCUGCUUCAGGUUUGGAUGGAGCUUCAUGGUUGUCUUUUGGAGAAAUGAGCAGUCAAGUUGUGUUAGAAAUUUGAUUUUUUUCAGGGGCAAAAGGAAGCCUCUGCAUUGUUGUCAAAUAUGUAAAUAGCAUGUUUUUGCAGGUGCUAAAAAACAGACUCUGAGUGUGUGUGUGUGUGUGUGUGUGUGUGUGUGUGUGUGUGUGUGUGUGUGUCUGUGUGUGUGUGUGUCUGUGUGUG